CUUUCUCCUCCUCCCCCACCACCCCACCACAUCACCCAUCUCCCUCACUUUCUCAUUCUAUGACUACAAGGCUGAGAGUGUGCAAUCGUUGGUACAUACUCUUUACGUCACAAAAUAAUAAGCAUAUUUUGAUCAAGAAAAAAUCAUAUAAAAUGUAUUUUUACUAUAACAUGUCAUCAUUGGGUAAUACCAACUCGGUGGUAUUUUGAACACAAAUCUGUGAUGCAUUUUUCAUGCCUUAUAUUCUUAUAUACUAUUUAAAUAAUUGUUGGCCAAAUUUUUUAAAAUAUGAUUAUUCCUUAUACGAAAUAUGCUUAUCAUUUUUGGGACAGGACGGAUGGCGUACCUUGACUGCACACAGGUGUGAAGCUUCAUUGAGACCCAAGGUUACCGUGUCCCCUUCUUUUUCUAUUAUCUUAUAAACUUGUCACAUAUAGUUAAGAAAAACACUAGAAUAGUUAUGUUUAUCUUAAUCUUGGUCCCACGGUGCCUUUCUCCAUGCUGCCGUGAUUGUAUCUAUGUCAACACAAACCGUUCUAUCUGAUCUUUCUUUGAACUUGCGCACUACUAGCAGUGUUAAUCUUUCACCACUUUUACUACGUAUUUUUAUCGGAUCAUCUAUCACGCUGAUCCUUCUUGAUUAAAAGGAAAAUCAAUCCCCAUAUAUAGCUCGAACUCGCAAGAUAAACGAAGGCCGCAGCAUGCCACAUGCAUUUAUUGACCAUUUCUCAACAAAUUAAGUUCGUGGAGCUGAAUUGGAAAUACGAGUACGCAGACUCUUUUCAAACCAUCCACAAAUUACACAAGACAUUUAAAAAGCCAAGUAAAGCACCCGUACAUCGUUUAAACAACAACACACAUCCACCACAGGAUGAAAAAAAAAGGCAUAAUUAACAACACAUCCAAUCCAUCCUGACAAUAAAUAAAUACAUCUCGACUCACAUCGAUCGAUGGUACGAUGCUUAUUGGCCGAUGCAUGGAUCAAUCAGAUCAGAUCAGAUCAGAUCAGAUCAGAUCAGUAGUAGCCGAGCUGCUGGGUGAUCUUGACGUGGAGUUGCCUCUGCGCGAAGGCGAAGAGGCGGGCCACCUCGUCGUCCCCCUGCACGCCGCCGUCGCGGUUGGCGUCGGCGGCGCGCACGCCGUCCCGCGCCUUCCACCACGCGAACCACACGUUGAGGCUCCGCAGCGCGUGCUGCAGCUCCUCCCUGCUGAUCCGCCCGUCGCGGUCCGCGUCGAACUGCGCCAGCCACGCCCUGAACUCCUCCACCGUCAGCUCCCCCUGCGGCAGCGCGCGGUACCGCAUGAACGCCAUCCCCUCGCCGGCGCGCGACCGCUGCUCUGCUUGGCUUGCUUGCCUUGCCUCUGUGCGCUUGCUGCUUCCGCUUGGUGAGAGUGCUUGCUAGCUUGCGAGUGAGCUAGAGCUCUGAGUCUACUGUUGUGCUGCUGAUCGAGUUGCAGUUGCAAGUAGCGACGCACACGGCUACAUCCUAUAUAUAUACCGGUCCAAGAGGAGAGGGCCACACGGCGCUGAGGACCGUUUUUACGAUACGACUCGGUUUACUGCACGUUUUGCACGCGAAGAUCAGAGUUUGGCUGGCCGUGUUGAACAUGGGGUAGAUUAAUUGUCAGAUGAAAUGGAAAUAAAGUAGUGGCUAGAUUGCUUUUAGAUGCUGCUAGAUUAUUGCCAGUUGCCACUGAGCUAGUUUUCAAGGGGGAAUAAUCGGUGGUGCAGCUUAAAAGCCGCAUUAGGCAGUCUGCAUUCUUUAGAUUAGGAUAUAUGCGGAUGCGGUACUGUUACAUUAGCACAUAAGUAUAUAUAAUCUAGACUAGAAAUGGAAGGAGCAAAGAGGUCGAAUGAUCAAAUCUCGAGGAUCCACUGAGUAUACUUGAUAAAAAUUGUGGCAAGUAGCAGUAGCCAAGUACACUGCUUUGAGGAUGAUUGGUUCAUAUGCAGCUUCGCAAAGCAGGGUAGCAGAGCAGGAGUAUCUUUUGUUAAGUAACUCCAACGAUUUGGUUAAAAUUAUUAAUGAAAAUCUAUUGUUUAGUCAUUUUGUAAAACAGAAAACUUCUCAAAAAAGAAAAGUUUUAUAACAGUUUUGCUAUUGUACAAAGUUAGAUAGCGAGUGAUGGCUAUAUAUGGCUAGUAAAAAUCAAAGGAUAAACAACUUAUUAUUUUACAAAGUUAUUAGAUAACACACACAUUUGUUGAAGUCUAUUUUUUUUAUGGUGCAAAAUUUAAAAUAACCUUCACAACAAGAAUAGCAAGCUGUUUGAGUUGUCUAGCACAGUUUUUUGUUUGGGCAAAAUCAUAGGUCGCCAUGAGCUGAUGGCGCGUUCGGCUCUAGGGAAUCGUCAGUUGUGCUGGGCCUUAAUUCUCUCGGCAACCGAAACAUGUACCUUGUUCUUUAGAUUUUUCCCAAUAGUGAAACAUAGACGUGUCGAACUAAGAAACCGACCAAACGGCACCUAUCGAGCGAGACUGAGAAUGCGAUCCAAUUUUUAUCAAAAUUUACUUACUUUUUGUCCUCGUAUAUAGCAUAAUACGUGUUCGGACGACCGGACAAGACAAACAAAGUACUAACAUGGGCAGUAUUAUGAGUGACACUAUUUACACUUGUCAUGAGAAGAUGUUAUUAUUUUAUACAUCUGUUUUUUGGAUAUAAUACAUUUUAUAAAAGCUGUAGGUCACUCACGGAUGGGUUAGCUAAUUGAGAUAUCUUUCUUUUUUCUUCCAUUCCAAUAGUGCAAUCUUCGGUGCCUGUUUGGCAAUCAGAAUUCCCCUGAGCAAUAACAAUAUGAAGCAUGCUUAUCAUCAUCAAGACUUUGCUCUCCGGUCGAUGUCAGUCUGCUUUUGCUUUACGUCCUUCUACAAAAUAUUCACUGGUGUGUACGUGCUGGUAGCACAAAAUUUUACAAUGCUUGGAGGCAAAAGGCUGAGUUAUUUAAGAAAAGUUCCGUGAUUGAUCAUAUACGAAAGCCUUGAAACUCCAGGAUUCUUUGUUCCAAAGACGCAGCGAAAUCGUUGAUUAAUGAGAAUCAGAUUCUUUUGGUAGGCUUUCACAGGCACUCGUGGACCAGAGCAAUCUGAUCCGCAAGUAGUCAGUUGUUUAUCUCGUAGAGCUCAUCAGCAGGUUCUCUAGCUAGCUGGGUAGUAGAGCUCAUCAACAGGUUCUCUAGCUGUGGCACAAAUGUUAAACACAUGCAGUAAAAUGUACCAGAGUAGAAGUACGUUGUUUUUUUACCCCAUCUAUUGCCGCACAAAUAUGAACGUUUCAUGAGUUUUCUCUGUGACUAAUAGAGUACAAAAACUUCGUCUGAAAACGCCUUAGAGUUCAGAAAGAGCAUAGGGUGCUGCCAACGUUGGCCAGAACACACAGGUUCGUAUUCGAUCUGUCUUGGAACAUGGAGGAAAUUUAGAAAGUUAUUACUCUCUUUUUUCGUUUUUCUUCGAAGGAACAUCCAACAAGAAGCUCCAGUCAGGAAGUCCAAAAGUUGAGAUCCAGCUUGCCCGUCCCAGCAGGGCCUGUUUCAAGACGAAUGCUUCUGAAGAAUUCUCAUUUUCUAAAGUAGAUAUGAUUCUCGAUAUCAUGCAUCUUAUGGCUUCAUAAGAUUGAUUAAUAAUACAGAACCGUCUUAUCAAAAAGAUAUUAUGGAGGAAAAAAGCGAGCACAGACUACAGACAUGAAUUGGUUGCGGUGUCUGCGAUCUGUAACUCUGCAAAUCAUUUUAGGACUUUUCUUGUGGUUCCUCCAGCUAGACCUAAGCAUGACAGUUGCAUAUGCUAAUUCGGAUUCUAAAAAUUUUGCUGUCACUAUUUCGUAGCAUUGUAACAUAACUGCUCCCUCAGUCCUCAAAUUUCAUUCCAAGGGACCAGGGCAUCUGAAUACUUAGGGGAUGUUUGGUUGCUAGCCACAAUCUACCACAACUAACUUUAGGCAAGUGUGGCAAGCCACAAAAAGUGUGGCUAACAAAUUGGUUGCCACACUUUGCCAUGCCUAAAGGAAUCUUGCCACACUUUUUAACUCUAUGACAUGUUGAGCCCAAAAGAAUCAUGCCUAAGCUUAGUUGUGAACCAAACACUUGCCAACUUGGUCAAACUUGCCUAAGGUAAAAUGUGGCAAAUUGUGGCUAGCAACCAAACAGCCCCUUAAUGUGUACUGUGAAGGAAUACUUCAUUGUGGCUAUUCUUUUUGGAAGGAAUAGAAAAAACAAGAACCCUAGCAUCUAUUUAGAAUAUUUUGAUUUCAGAGUUCCAAGACAGGAAACGUGAUCAAUGGCCCAUCUAUAUCGAUUGAGUCAGCAUUUAGUCCCAUAGCAAAUCCAAUAAUUCUGGAAAAUAGAAUUCGAAUGAGCUUCACAAGCUAUUCAAACACUCAUGAUUUGAACAGUUAAAAAGGCGAAGGCAAAAAUAUGAACGUCCACCCUGUUCGCUUGGCUGACAUCUUUGUAUUUGUUUCAGUAAGUUAGAACUAUGAGGUGAAACAGAAAUACAGUCAGUGACAGCACUAAACACAAAAUGAUACUUUAAAAGAAACAAAAGAUACCAAGCAAAAAGAAAAGAAAAGAAAAAAAGAAAAAAAAAAGAUCAACAUUAAAAUACUAACAGCAGCUAUGAUCAGUAAAAAGGAAGAGAAGUUUUUCUGAUAAUUAGAUUUGACGAACAUGAAAUAUAGAGGAAACUACAAGAGCAUAAUAAUGCAUUCCCUUUGGCUAUUCAAUGUUAGCGUGCACCUUACAACCCGCCUAGAAACUAUAUCCACGAUCCUCCUUCUAGUACACACUCAUAUAAUAUACAAAGCAUAUGUACAUUCUCUCGCCAAGCGGUGCAAAAGGAAAACAGAAACAAUUACAGGGAACUUACAUAGGUAAAAUCUUGCUCAGAGUUGCCAUUAGACACCUUGCCUCCAUUAUAUAUACAAAAAUCUCAACUCCUGCAGAAAACUAUAGUCUUGAGCGUCGGAAGUACCUGAUGGGAUUGAAUGGACCAAGUUGCCGGGCAGAAGCAAAUGUUGGCCGUCCAUUCGGAGACACUGUUGGCUUAAUGUCCCAUCCUUCAACAUUUUUCGGAACACAAACAUCAUACAGGAUUUGUCCAAGGACUCCUUUAGGCUCCAUGCAGGGUGGAUGGGAUAUGUGGCGCCUCUGAUCCUCAAUCAGAGAACCGGGUUCCCGAGAUUCAUCAUGAUCCUUUGAACUUGGCAAGAAGAAGUGAUCACUAGGACUGUUAGCAACCCUUCUUAAGCUCUCAUUUGAAUUGGCUGCAGCAUUGUGUAGACUGCACACUGAGUGCGCUAUCUUGUACUCCUGGUCACCAGCCAUAUUUGAGUCAUAUAGUUGGCUUCGGUGGCAGAAGGUAACAAGAGCCUUCUUCAACAUAUCAUCUACAGCUGUCCUGUAUUCAGUUUCAUGUGAAUUGUAAUGGCCUGCAAGUAAUCAGAAAAGUGAUUUGAUUAUCUGUAAAAUGUGACAUGUUGUCUGGCAGCAGAGAAGAAAAAAUUGAGGUUUCAAGUUGACCCACAUAUCUGCAGCAGCUAGACUGUGUAUAUUAUAAUGUUGCCCCCUACUAUUCUAGUGUGACCAUCCUAAUGCCUAAAUAAAGCUAUAACGCUGGCAUGGAAAUUUCCUCCCACUUGUCAUUUCCUCAACAUUUAUGAGUAAACUCCCAUACCAAAUAUUGUGCGCCCCUGAGAAAUUGACAACAGAGGAAUUGUUCAGUCUACUCUACCAUUCUCAGACUGAUAACAGCCCCAAUCCAGGUAUCAGAACAUGUGGUUCAAGUCAGUUUUAUAAAAAUAUUGAGUAUGAAUAAAUAAAUUACAUCCAAGUGUUAACUGCUCAUGGAUGUGGUACAUAUGGUCUCAAAUAGUUGUACAACUGUACUUAGAAUUCAAUACAUGAGAUUAAUGCCACAUCUUGGAAAGAAGCUGCAUUGGUUUCAUUCAUAUUCAAUUCAAGUUACAAAUGAGCUAUCAAUAGUGGUGAAGACAAGAUAAGAACCUUACCGACAUGUUGGGAUUCACUCCAUUUCAUAAGUUUAACCUCCGUGCCUAGUUCAAUCAAACGCCUUGCAAAACCACAGAUAAUAUGGCAUGGAGCAAGAUUAUCAUCUUCUGAGCAAAAUAUAAGAACAGGACCCAAUCCCUGCAAGAACAAUAAAUGAAAAAUAUCAUGAGUAUCAAAGAUGGUAUAUGACAAAUAUCACAGAUAAAACAGAACUUACUGCUGCUGAGUAUAGUGUGUGCCAGUACUCUGCACGCUGAGCUUCAAUCCUGCUUGGGAAGAGAGUAUCCAUGCCAGAAGCUAGAGCCUUUGCUAUCCAUGAACGUAAUAUAGCUGACUGAGAUGAAUUUCCAACAGCAGGCUUUUGGAGAAACUGGGUGCCCACAUCACUGACAAAAUCUACAGGGCUAGAGUCAUAAAUUUGCCCACAGAUACAGUUUCUCACUAACCGAUAGUCCUUCUGCACAGUGAAAAUUUUAUGUCAAGAAACUCAACGUCUUAACCAAGAAAUUAAGAGCAGUAGCCCAAAUAGCUAAUCUCCACCCAAUGGUGAACCGCAUAUAUUGAUAAUAAACAGAUCUAUGUUAGCUGAACAAACUAAUCAAACAUACACAGUAAAUAUUUUAUCUCAAGAUAAAUCCAAGAAGAUGACUGACAAAUAUAAUCAUGAUGGACUUCACAAAAUCCAUCAUUACUGCUGAUACAAAUCAUGAACACAAAACUACAUACUAGUUGAAGGUACAACCCAGAAAGUACAAAGUUAACAUUUAAAGAGGGGGUUAUCACUGAUGAAGGACAAAGAAAACAUUCAACAUAUUCAAGCAAAUCAUAGCUCGUCACUCUAAACAACUGGAAGUAACUAUAGCCUAGCAGUACCUAAUCCAUAUGACCAUUGAUACACUGUUACUUUCAGUGGCGGAUCCAGAAACGAUGCAAGAGGAAGGGCUAAAUAGUAAGAGAAGGCUAGAAAUCCUACAGCAGAUUAGUGCGGGUAGGGCUGAACACCUAGACUAUGAACUAUUUUGGGCUAGAGAUGAAGAGGUGUUCUUAGCAAUUUUGGGCCACGCCCCGGGCUGCAGCCCCCCUAGCCCGGGGUGCAGAUCCGCCCCUGGUUACUUUGUUAGCUAUAAGUCAUCUCAAGAUAAAUCCAAGAUGAUGACUAACAAAUAUAAUGAUGAAGAUGGACUUCACAAAAUCAAUCAUUGCUGCUGAUACAAAUCAUAACACAAAAUUGCAUACUAGAAGAAGGUACAACCCAGAAAGUACAAAGUUAACAUUUAAGGAAGGGGUUAUCACUGAUGAAGGACAAAGAAAACAUUCAACAUAUUCAAGCAAAGCAUAGCUUAUCACACUAAACAACUGGAAGAAACUAUAGCCUAGCAGUACCUAAUCCAUAUGACCAUUUAUAGACUGUUACUUUGUUAGCUAUAAGUCUCAAUGUGUCCCGAAAACCGUUUAAUUAAGAUUUGUUCAUAGGUUCCAAUCUCCUUGCCUACUUGUAUUGAUAGCAAUGCAUGUUGAAAUCAAUGAAUGAGAAGAAAGGCAUCACAUACCAUGGUUGCAUCUCCUUCACAUAUUCCAUCUAGUAACUGGAAAAUCCAAGAAAUUCAGUCAUUUCAACUGGGACAAGUGAUCUAUUUUUCAUUAGAAAAAGACAGAUGAUUCUAUUUACAAAUGGCAGUUACGAUUAAAUCAUAAAAGAAAUUUUUGUGAUAAACUGAUAAUGCAUGCACCUGAAUAACCUUGUACAUGCAUCCCUUUGAGCCACCAGAAAAGGAAGCAAGAACAGUUGGCACAGGUUUUACUCUCAGUUCCUGAAAACCAGCAUUCCAUGUUAUCCCGGAGGGGGGUGGGGGGCAAUUAUUUGAAGUAGUACAAAAAAAAAGUUAAGUAGAACGAUGGAUUCCUAUUUGCCAACACCUUAAACAGUCCUCCAGUAGAUCAUAAUUCAGAGGUAUCAUAGAAAAACAUGCUAGUUCAGUUCUCAAUCAGUAGUAAGGUCACAUAGAGCCAGAGGUGACAGAAUUAAAAGAUAGUACAAAAGCAACGCAACGUAAUAAUAAAAUAAUUAUAUAAAUUAUAAUGUGCUUGCAUUCUAAGGAUCUCAUCACCUACAAAUUUUCCGUGUAAGCCACAGGUUGAGUACAAAUGGUAACAAAGAGUUAAAAGAGACAUUGCCUAGUGCAUUACACAAUAGUGUGGAUCAGGAAAAAAGGCCUAAUAAAGUACUGUUACUGGCUAAAAAAACAAGAAGCAUGCAAUUUUAAAUUCUCCAACCUUUAACAGAAUCUCUGUCCACUUAAUGUACUGUGUGAUAUUUGUAGGCACAAUAAUAAGGGAGAGACAAAAAUACUUACCUUAACCAGCUCAUUAAUAACACCAGUUGCCAGUGAUGUUGCUUUCUCAGAGAGAUAUCUGGAAGAAGAUAGGAAUUAGUACAGUGCCAUAAUCAGAUUUAUAAAGGGGCCCAAUCAUGCACGCAACCCCACUGAAACACUACACUUUAGCACGCCUAUAUCAUAUUUGAAGUAAGGUUCAACAAGUGUCAUUUCUAAAUACGAAAAGAACCCUAUUCAACGUAUUAUUGCUUAAAGCCUAAAGGUCUAUGGGAAAAGUUUCCCGCUCCACCUGUGAAUUAAAUGUUGCCAAUAAAACCCUUCUAACUUCAGCACAAUAUGAUGAUAAUCAGCAUGCUAGUAUUAUUCAAUCAGAAUUGUUCUACUGUGUUCAAAUUGGCCACGAAAAUAAUUAUAAAGCUUCCAGCAUCCAGCUGCACAUUAUUCAAGCAACAAAAAUGUUUGGAUAGACCCAGCUACAUAUUGAACCCAUACAUAUAUGGUUUUAGCCUCUAUUACUGUGUCAACACAUAAAAGGAAAAGAAGUGAAAAAAGGAUAAGGAACAUGUUGGAUCAAUGCUAGGGACUUAUGCUGAAGAUCGACAGGAAUGAUAACAUUACAGGACAUUCUCUAUGGAUGCAAUUUGUUUUACUUUGUAAAGUAGUGUUUGAAAAUUAUGCCAACCUUGAAGUGCAAUGAUCUAUUCCUAAUUACAACGAUCAAAACAUCUUUGCCAUGGCAGAAAGUACUGUUGGCUGAUUUGUUGUGAGAGAAAAACACUGCUGAAUGGCUGGCAGCGAACAUAAGGUAAUCAGUAACUUAACUAAGACGUCCAUGCCUAAUAGCCAAACAGGAAAGCUUGCUAAAAUGGCAUCAAUACAAAGUAUACAGUAAAAAUUGCACAACUACAACAACCCUAAGACUAGGACAUUAACACCCAGAGGGAGUUGCGAAACUCAACACAACUCAGCUAAGUACCAUGCCCAACCAAUCUGAUCGCCGCAAAAUAUCACAAGUAGCCAAACCUAAAUCCUUCCUGCGUCACGAUCUCAGGAGCCACAUACUAGCAAGCAAUCUCUGAAAUUAAACCUGAGUAUAGCUAUAGCCGCACAGGCAGGUCAGGAUAGAAGUAUAAGCUACAGUACAGUAGAGCUAAAAUCGAGCGCCUCCCCCAAGUGCAAACGAGUAACGGCGCGGUGGCACUCACAGCGCGACGAGGUCGGGAUGGCAGACGAGGCAGCGCCACCCGAGCGAGGAGUACAGCUCGACGAACGGCCGCAGCUGCGCCUCGUCGCUCCACACCCACGCGAACAGAACCGCGACGCCCCUCGCCUGCCCCGCCGACGGCGCCGAUUCCGGCGCCCAGUAGAACCGCCCGCCGCAGCCGGGCCACAUGGCCUCCGCCUCCUCCUCCGCCGCCGCUGCCGCCCCUGCUCUGCUGCUGCUACCGUCGAGGAGGCCGAGGAGGAGGGGAAUCGGAGCAAGGGUUUGCGCUGUUUCACUUGUUUGUUUCUGGUGGAGAUGGAGAUUGAGAUGGAGGUGAGGAGGGGUGGAGGAGGUGACGGGGACGGGGUGGGUCGCUUCGGCGUUUGGUUCGUUGCCCGUUUUUAUUUUCCUUUUUCGAGAGAUUUCUUCGAACGCCGUUUGUUUUUUUGGUUUUUUUUUCCUGAGGUUUGUACAGGAGUUUGCUUGUGCGCCGUGUCCCGUGUGCGGGGAAAUUUUGUUCUUCUUCUGAAUUUAAGUGGCCGAUGGUCAACUCUAACUUGCGGCCUUGCGGGGCUGGAUAAACAUGAGUAACGGUGGUACAGUCACGCUCAUGCAGAGAUGAUCCAGCCAGACUUCACGUUUGAAUGCUACCCCUACCUUGGCCUUGUUCAAAAUUUUUAGAUUCUAAAUCACAUUAAAUCUUACAGUACAGGUAUAGAAUAUUAAAUAUAGACAAAAAUAAAAAUUAAUUACAUUUAUCUAUAAUUCGUGAGACGAAUUUUUUAAGUCUAGUUAGUCCGUGAUUAAGUGCUACAAUAUUCGAAAUUCUGCGAACUGAACAAAAUCCUUGUAGUAGUACUUUGACUUCACCUUUCGAGUAAACAUGUACUCGUAUAUGUAUGGAUUUCUUAGAGUGAUACAAAUAUAGGUGAGUACCGUACAUUCCACCAUGGCGUGUUUAUAAAUUUGUAUAAUAUAUAAAGAAUUUUUUUUUUGUUCAACCUAGAAACAUUUGAUUACCACAUCGUGAUAUUGAUAUUUCCUAAGUUGUGUCGUUUCGGUGCAAUAUUGUAACAAAAGUUUUCUAUGUUACGACAUGUGGCAUAAUACUAUGAAAGUUACUAUGAAUGACUUGAUUGCUAUUUUAUUCUAAUGUUUAUACCAAGAAAAAUCUAAAGAGAUAGUACGUGGUAAUUACAAUGAAAUCGAAGUCCUCUUAGAAACUGAAAACGUUAUAAAUAGAUCUAUACUCAAGCCAUGUCACCUCUUCAACUUGACGUACUCAGUCCUUUUCAAAUCGUGUCUUGACAACCGGAGGUACACACACUCUAAUUAGGGACCAGUUUUAAUUCUUGUGCUCAUUUAGGUGUAUUAUAACCCUAACAUGCCUUUUAAUAGCUAGCAGGUAUUGUAUUUUAUUUCACCUGAACGAGAGAUAAUAAGAUAACUCGCUAACCAGUACACGACGCACACCCACAAAAAAAAAACAUUACUCUUUGACAUUUUGCUUCCUUUAAUUUGCGACACGCCGCCGUUUCUUUUCUUUCAUUCAUUAUUCGCUCAAAACCACCACGUCAGCUGCCGAUUUCCUAUUCGUAGUACUGAUGUGGACGUCCUAAUUGAUUUUGGACGGAGUCCUCCCAGCUGAUCUGAUGCUUUGUUCAAGCAAUGGUCCCCUACGUGCAGAAUUUUAGACCAAAUCCAAGUUUCCAGCUAUUUCUUCGUGAGUUAACAAAGCUAGCAAUGCGUCAGCUUUAGAAAACUUCACACGCAUUUGCGAAUGCCAUUAUUUGGUACUUAUUCAUGCUUGCUUCUGAAUUCACGUUAUUCCUUUAAUGUAACAGCAAAGCAAUAUCACGUGUCCUAAUAUACACUAAGAGCACUCCCAAUGCAGAAACCAUUGUGGUUUCUAUAGACAUUAAUUGCAGUGUCACCUAAGCAUUUUGCUGAUGUGGCAAUGUAGUUAUUGAAAAGAGAGAGUAAAAAUCAUAGAAACUGGGUCUAAGUUAGAAACUAUGUCUACACAGAAUCCAAGACAUGAAGUGAUAUGAUUGGCUAAAAAUGGAGAGAGAAUGAAUGUGAUUGGAUAUAAAAAUAUUCUAUAGAAACUAUCCAUUGGGACCAUAGUUUCUAUAUAUAGUGUCUAUAGAAAUUAAUAGGUAUAGAAACUAUAUGUAGUUUCUAGCAUUGGGAGUGCCCUAAUAAUAAUUAGAGCAAAUGGCCAAUGGAGCAUGAAUAUUCUUUACUUUCUCUAUUAUGAAUAAUAAGUCACUUUGACUUUUUUUGGUAUAUCCAUUUUGUUAUGUAUCUAAACAUAUGUUAUAUAUAGAUACAUAGCAAAUUGGAUGUUCCAAAAAAAAUUAAAUGACUUAUAACUUGGAACGGAGGGAGUAUUAAGUCAAUUCUCAUGUAUCUCCCUUUCUCUCGUAGUAUAUUGCUGCCGUUGUUUUAUAGUUUUAUCUAUUGGUGUUUUAGUAGUAAACGGGACACAUAUUUUUAUACUAGUUCAAAUAAGAGGUGUCAUGUGUCAUGAUUUUUCAUAUUCGGGUUAAUUGUGACUUUGUGGUGUGAGUAGAAGGGUUGCAACUAUUGUCUAUUAUAGGUAUUGGCGUAUUGCUAUGGAUACUUGAUUAAGGGCCUCUCUAGCUCUCCUUGUAAACUGUGAGAUAAAGUUAAAGAUAUAGUCUUAUCCAGAUUAGUUUACAAGUUGGUUAUAGUCGGUUACAAGAGAUUGAAUCGUCUUCGUGUAUAUAUCUUGGUUGUGUCGUGUCCGCUAAGUCAAUGAGGUAACCCGAGUCAGAUUUGCUCUUGGUCAAUCGACUUGGUCUCACGCUCUCAGAGUCAUGUAUGACAUUUGACAUCUGAAGAUAUCCAGAGCCCAUGUUUUGGUCGAUAGUAGCCCUUGAGUUCUUUCUUGGUUGAGCUUGCAGCAAUCUAGAUGUUGUCUCUACAACUUGAACCUUGUAUCAUUCUAAAAAGACCAACUUUAAGUAGUCCUCUGAUUCAACGCUCUAUUUAUCUUGGCUUCAAUAUUUUCAUUUUAUUUUGAUUUCUUAUAUCCAUAGAACCUUAGAAAACCUUUAAAUACAUCUUAUCUUAACACAAAUAUUAGUUCUAAACUUGUGUUGUCAACUAAAUCGCCAAAACUAAAUAUAAUCAUGCAUAUGGUUUCUGAUCCUUACAAGCAUGCUGCCAUGGGACAACGAAGGACAUCGUGGGAUGAUGAGUUAUGUUGUAACUUGUAGGAGAGUGAGAAACAUCAUGGGGACACGAAGUUACACCAUGGAAGAGCAAGGGACGACGAGUCAUGCCACGGGAGAGCAAGUGUUGCAACGGGAUGUAGCAGGCCCCAACAAGCUAUUGCAUGAUGCCACCGUGGGAUAGCAAGGGAUGCUAAGUUACACUGACGGAGAACAAAGGAUGCCACCAGGAUGGUGAGGCACACCAUAGGAUGUUGAGUGCCGCAGCGGGCGCAGCGGGAUGCGAUAGAAUGCCAAAUCACAUAGUGGGUCAGUACGAGACACCAUGAGUGUCAUCGGAGCCAUUACGGAUCGCUAUGCUUGCGUGCCAUCGUGGGAUACCGAAUCUCAUUGUAGGUCAACGAUAGACAUGAUGUGAUGCCAAGUGUCAUCAUGUAACAUCGAGGGACGUCGUGUGAUCACGAGAGAGGUUGAUUGAGCAAAGUCACUGACAUGAAUGUGCUUGUGAUGCCCCCUACUUGGUGCACUAACUAGCAGCCAAUCAGAGGAGUAGCACCACAGACACAUGUUUAUACUUAUUUAGACAAAGUGUGUCUUACAUCCAAUGUGCGUGUAAUAAUGUUUUUAUUGCUUGCGCAUUGUAUAUGCUCGAGUUAGUUGUGAGGUGGGGAUCGUAACUAUUUUCUAUUGUGUAUUUUCUCUGGAUGUUGAACAUGGGGUGACGUAUCCCUGCUUGUAUAGUUCGAGGGGAUAAGGUUAUAGUCCUAACUUAAUCGUUUUACAAGUUGGUUUUCUAAUUAGUUAUAGCAGAUCAAGUUGAAUUCCACGUAUAGCUUGACUAUGCCAUCUCCGUCAAAGUGAGUGAGGUACCUCGGGUCGAACUCACUCCUGGCCAACCGACCUGGCCUGCCCCUCGUGGAGAGCCGUUUAUGGCCUCGGUGAGGGUUCUCGAGACCCAUACAAUCGACAAUAUCGUUAAUGGCUAACCAAAAAAUAGUUUAAGCAAAAUUACAAAUGUUGUUUCGUGGUUCAAGAUAACCAAUGACAAUGAGGCUUGCAUCCCAAGCCGUUCAACCAAGUUCUAGAUUGCUUAGGCCUUGUUUAGUUCCCAAAUUUUUUGAUUUGUGGUACUGUAGCACAUUCGUUUUUAUUUAAUAAUUAUUGUCUAAUUAUAGACUAAAUAGACUCAAAAGAUUCAUCUCGCAAUUUACAAUUAGUUUAUGUUUUCGUCUAUAUUUUAAUAUUUAAUGCUCUAUACAUAUACCACAAGAUUCAAUAUGACAAGAAAUCUUGAAAAGUUUUUAAUUUUUGAAGUGAACUGAACAAAGCCUUACAUCAAAGCUACAAGUCCUAGAUUGCUUACAUCAGCUUGAAACGGAAUGCCUUGUGUGAAUCGGCAUGCCCUACUCCAAAGUCACUUGGAGCAAUUACUGACGAGUAACGAUCAGCAGGUGCUCGAGAGGAGGAUCGCGCCAACUUGGAAUCCUUUUCACAUAUGUGUCGGUUUGCGAAUUAACGACAUGGGCAUAGGAAAUGUCUGACAGCACAUCUCAAAUUUGGCACGCUCUCUAAGACUUAUCUUUGCAAUUUGCCACGUUCCUUUGGCUCUUUUUUCCGCAUUGCACCCCACAUUGCUAAGGAUGGCAGCAGGUUGAUUUCGGGUUGGAUAUCUACGGGUUUCGGUUCUCGCGGGUUCGGGUUUAGAAAUAAUUUUUUACGCACAGUUUUUCAGAGUCGGGCCCUGGAACUUAACGGGUUUGAUUUCGGGUUUGGUUUUCCACCGGUGGAUAUCCAAAAUAAAUCAUUAGAAUUAAUUUCAUAUUUUAUAAUAUACUAAUAAUAACUUGUUUAAUUAGAUUAUUAAAUUUAUUCUAAGCUAACUCAUGAAAAUAUUUAUUUGUUAUUGCCUAUUUUUAAUACAUGUAAAUAUAUGUGUAUAUCAUGUAUAUGUUUAUAGAAAGUUCUUAUUGCUAUUACUAUAUUGCCAUAGAAAGUUUUUAUUGAUAUUGCCAUAGAAAGCGGUUUCGGGUAUCUACGGAUUUGAUUUUGGGGAUGAGUUAUCACCUGAAUCGGUAUUCAGUGCGGUUUCGGAUUUUGAUUUCGAGUUUCGGGGUCGAGUGUACGCAGACUUCACCAAUCCGAAUCCGUCCCGUUGCCAUCCUUACAUGUUGCUUUCUGAACUGUGAGGCAAACAAGUUCAUGUACCUUUCCGUGUAUUGAAAACUAGAUACAACAAGCCUACAGCUAAUGUUUUUUCAGGUUUAAUUUACCUAUUUUUUGUAUAUGUAAAUUGAUUGCAGAUUCUAAAAAUUAAUUCAGGCACUACAGGCGUACGUACGCUCGUCAUUGGUGGCGGCAGGCUCUGUUCUGUGGGAUAGCCGGGCCCCCAAUUCGUAAUUUGCUUCGCCAUCACCUUGUUAUUGUUUGGCCCGGCCCACAGAGCCGAACCGGUUGUCAAACCUGGGCCUCGUUUAGUUCUAAAUAAAGGCCUUGUUUACUUUCAAAAAAUUUUGCAAAAUAGAAAUAAUAGCACUUUCGUUUGUAUUUGACAAAUAUUGUCCAAUUAUUGACUAACUAGACUCAAAAGAUUCGUCUCGUCAAUUUCGACCAAACUGUGCAAUCAGUUUUAAUUUUCAUCUAUAUUUAAUACUCCAUGCAUACGUCUAAAGAUUCGAUGUGACAGGGAAUCUGAAAAAAUUUUGCAAAAUUUUUGGGAACUAAACAAGACCAAAGUUGGCAAUUUUUUCAGAUUCUUCGUCAUAUCGAAUUUUGCGACACAUGCAUGAAGCAUUAUAUAUAAAUAAAAAAAUAACUAAUUUACACAAUUUGCCUAUAAUUUAUGAGAUGAAUCUUUUGAGUCUAGUUAGUUCAUGAUUAAAUAAUAUUUGUCAAAUCUAAACGAAAGUACAACGAAUCUAGUGCAAACUCAUCUCUCGUGCAAACUGUGCAAACUCUAAUCUGGACCGCAGGAUGUUGAUCCAAGGGGGCGCAUGAGAGAGGUGGAAGGACGGAUUUGUAAAAGUGUGAUUAAGAGCGGGCGGUUAAGUGCAAAAUUAUCCAAUCUCUCCGCACCCCUUGGAUCAACAUCCUGUGGUCCAGAUUAGAGUUUGCACAGUUUGCACGAGAGAUGAGUUUGCAUUAGAUCCAUUGCCGUACUAUAGUGUCUAUUUUGUAAAAAAUGAAAGUAAACAAGGACCUGAUGGGAAAAUUGCAGUUGCAGAGUCUUGCAGAUUAGAACGGCUUUAUUUCUGUGCCCCUCUCUUGUGCAUCUAAAAACCAUCGGCCUCGUUCGGUUCUAAAUUUUUUUUUAAAUAAACAUUGUAGUAAUUUUGUUUAUAUUUGAUAAAUAUUAUUCAAUUAUAGACUAAUUAGAUUUAAUAAAUUCGUUUCGUAAAUUAUAGAUAAACUAUGUAAUUAAUUAUUUUUUAUCUAUAUUUAAUAUUAUAUAUAUAUAUAAAUCGUAAAAUUUAAUAUAACAGAAAAUGUAAAAAAAUUUGCAAAACUUUUUUUAAACUACAAGGCCCAAGGCCUAGGGAGAAGCACGACCACGAGGGCUCACGGGCGGUGGGCCAGGCGACACUUUUCUUUCGUAUUUUGCCGCGGCGCGCUGCAGCCUUCGAACCGAGAAGAGAACGGGAGGCUUGGUUUAGUUCCUAAAUUUUUUAAAUUUGUCUAUUGUAAUAUUUUUAUUUAUAUUUAAUUAUUAUUAUUUAAUUAUAAACUAAUUAGAUUUAUAAACUUUAUCUAGUAAAUUACAAAUAUAAAUUAUAUAAUUAAUUAUUUUUAAUCUAUAUUUAAUAUUAUAUAUAUAUAUUUAAAAAAUUGAUGUGACGAAAAAUUUAAAAAUUAAACCCCGCCUGAAUGCCUGAUCCCACGAUGUAGCGAGACCAUCACGUGCGUGUAGAUGCUUCUCGAAUCACGAACGGGCAGGGGCCAACGUGGACGUGUCAACGUUAGUGACCCCAUCUAUGAGGCACGAAAUGUCAUAGCGAUAAUGUUGCGCUUCGGAUGCAAUCCUAUCCUAAUUAAGGAGUUAGCCAUUGUGUCUUGUUCAUUUGACUGAUAAGUUAUAAUAGAAAGUAGUGCUGACUGAUUUAUUAUAAAAAAAAUAAAUAACUAGCAGAUUUGGCUGAUAAACUCAAGCGAACAAGGCGUAAAUAAAAAGGAAAUAUGACAGAUUAAAAAAAGGUAAUAUGACGCUGCAAAUAUUAAAAAAAGAGAGGAAAAAAGUUAUUUUUAAAGGCCAACCACGGUAAGGAUUUCAUGUCUAAAAAAUUCUAAGACUCCGCUAUGUUAGAAAGAAUAUGGACAAGUUUCGUCUUUAUGAAAUAAGUCAAAGCACUAAGACCUUCCUCCAUGGAGUGUUAUGAUUUAGUUUUUAACACAUUCAUAUUUUAGCAAUAGUGCAGAAGAGUUUUAUAGGAAUGAAACUAUCUUUACCCUAUGAAACUCUCAUCAUCUUUUUCUUUAUUUAUACAAUGCCACAUCAGUAUAUUUAAUGUCCAUAAAACUUUAAUAAAAUUCUAUUAAAACUGGUCUAAGCUCGAGUGGUCUGACCUUUGGCGAUCAUUGGACUUUUGUGAUGCCCAUAUAAACUGUAAUUGUGAUGAUUAGACCGAUCCUUUGGGGUGCUUAGGCGAGUCUUAACGGGGUUUCAUUAGAGUUUUAUGGAUAUUAAAUAUGUUGAUGUGGCACUGUACUAAUAAAGAGAGAGAUGAUAAGAGUUUCAUAGAAGUACAGAGAGUUUGAUAGAAUGAAACUCUUCUCCACUAUUUCCAAAUAUAUAGAUGUGAUGGAAACUGAACCAUAAAACCUACACUGAGGAUGACCUUAAGCAUCAAUGAUUGCCUUCCACUAACCACCGGACUCAUAUGAUGGCUUAAUCGUCUGAGUCUGUUAACACCUUUAUUAAACUCAAAACAUGUACACAAUAACCACAAUUUAAGUUGAAUCAACUAAUAUUUUAUUACAUUAAUAUUUAUUAUGUGCCUUAGAAUUUAUUUAUUUAAUAUUAGAUAAUUUCAAUUAGGCCAGUCUUAGGCCUUGUUUAGUUUCAAUUUUUUUUGCAAAAUAGACACCGUAGCACUUUCGUUUGUAUUUGACAAAUUUUGUCCAAUUAUAGACUAACUAGACUCAAAAGAUUCGUCUCGCAAUUUAUAGAUAAUUUGUGCAAUUAGUUAUUUCUUUUAUCUAUAUUUAAUGUUUCAUGCCGCAAGAUUCGAUGUGACGGGGAAUCUGAAAAAUUUUGCAAAAUUUUUUGGAACUAAACAAGGCCUAAUAGUAAGUUUCAUGGCAUUGUUUUCAAAAUUGAAGUGUUAUAUGAAAUGAAAUAAAACUUAGAUGAAACAUCCACUUUCAAUGGAGAGUUUCAUUCUAUUUCUAUGGUUUCAAAAGCAUUUAAUUUUAAGUUUUACAGAGUUGGUAACUAUGUUAAGAAAGUUUCAUUUCUUCUAUCUCUUCUCAAAUACACUAUUAUAUUAUCAAAAAUGCCUAUUUGACAUCCUAUCUAAUACAAUAAAACUCACUUGAAGCUUCCAUUAAAACUGAUCUUGAAUCUAAAAAAAUAGUUCAUUCAUCAUUACCGGCAGAACACCAAGCAAUAAAUUACGCGUCUUGCAUAUUGUACAAGGCACAAUUAUCUUGUACUUCCUCAAUUCCAAAUAAUAAAUCAUUUUAAUUUUUAUAUAGAUUUUGUAAAAGUAAAAAAUGACUUUUAUUUUGGAGAACGAGAGAGUAUCCAAGAGUUCUUUUAGUUUACUGCAGCAACCAAUCGCUUUAAUUUCGCACGGUGUAAAUCUAAAUCGCAGGCUAAAGCCAAACGGCCCUCCAAGAUUUUAGAAAAUCUAACCAUAAAACCCUCCACACCCACCGCAACCCACACGUAUACAUGGCCAUACAACCUAUGGCCCGAUGACCCGACCCAUAGCCCAGUGAUUUGGCCCGGCCCGAGUACGACACGAUACGGUGGCCACCGGGCCCGGGCUGACCCAGCCUGAGGGACCAGGCCAUGCCUGGGCCGCCACCCAGGCACGUGGCACGGCACGGGCACGGCCCAUCCAACGGUUGGCCUAGUGAAAAUGAACUGUUGGUGUAGCUAUGACUUUGUAUAUAUGUGUUGUUAAUUAUUAUAUUGGUGAAAAUGAUGAACAAUUGGUGAAAAUAUUGAUGAAAAUGAGUUGUUUUCGGUUUGAUGGGCCGCGGGCUGGCACGACACGACAUGUUUGACGAGCCGACAUAGCACGGAAACCAGCCCGCGGGCCGUGCCUUGGGCCAAAUGCCACACACGAAGCCCGUAGAGGCACGACCCGUUAGACACGACGGCCCAUAACGGCGUGACAAUCUGCGGCACAACAUUGGGCCGACCCGACACGGCCCGUUGGACAUAUAUAUCCAUAUGCUGCUCUCGCUCCCCCCGAGGUAAUCGACGAAGGCCACCACCACCUCGACACCACUUUGCCUCGAGAAGGUUCCACAAGGCCUAUUCGGCUAGGGUUUGGUACUUUGAUCUUGGGGACUUUGCGGGCGAUCGCUAUGGAGGGCGGCGACGGAGGUGAAAAAUCCGAGGUGCUUCAUGGACGUCACCAUCGGGGGCGAGAUAGAGGGGAGGAUCGUUUUAGAGCUCUAUCAAUAUGCCGCUGUAAUGGAAUAAAAGGAUUGAGUAUCGGUGCUAUUUAGCUUUUCUAAGGCCUUGUUUAGUUCACCCAAAAACCAAAAAAUUUUUAAGGUUUUCCGUCACAUCGAAUAUUGCGGCAUAUGCAUAUAUAGAGCAUUAAAUAUAGACUAAAAUAAAAACUAAUUGCACAAUUUGUAUGUAAAUCGUGAAAUGAAUGUUUUGAACCUAGUUAGUCUAUGAUUGGAUAAUAUUUGUCAAAUAAAAAAAUGAAAAUGCUACAGUACCCAAAACAAAAAAAUAGAUAAGUUGGGUCAUCUUUUUUUUUUAGACAAGUUGGGUCAUCUAACCCUACACCAUGAUUAUCGAACUCUUUUUCAGUUAUGUUUGCAUUACCUUUUAUGGGUCAUCUAAGUCAUUGUACAGAAGUUCAAAAGGGAUUUAUGUGUCUCUACACGUGUGUAUGCAUGUAGACAAAUCACGAGUAAACAAGAUAUAUGAUGGGAAUGCACUGAGGACCAAAUUCCUAGUAGAGAUGUUAAAGUACAAGACAACAAAGCUAAAGACAACAUUCCUAAAGAUAUACAAGAAUUUCUUAGGCAUGUGAGGAUUUAGGUGGCUUCAAAAGAUAUAAUAACUGUGAUGUGAUUUGCAGUGUUGCUCUUUGAGCAUAAUUGCUAUGGACUAAACAAUAUGAUAACUCAUCGUGAAUCUCUUAUGGCAUGAAUCUUAAUCUAUCUCACUAUUUACUUUAUUUUUAAGAAACAUAGCCUUUUUGUUGUUUACCGUAACGAAUGCCACUAUUAUGUAUCAAGUUUUCCAAAAAUAUCUAGAAAUUUAUCAUAGUAGCAGUGCUACCAUUUGUUUGUUUCUCCAAUCCACAGUCUCUGACAAUAUCUCAGAUAUUUGGUUCACCCCUGAAAACGACAUGUUGAUUUGGUCGCAUUGAGUUCACUUUUCUACACAGGCGGCACAACACGGACCUUGCAUCGAACAUCGUGUUCUACAUGAACUUUACAAGCACAAAAGACCGUGCAACGCUUGCACACCUGCAAGUUUUUAUUGCCAACAACUCCGAUCUCCCGAACCGAGCAAAAGAUCUCCCUCCCAAGUCACACUUGCAGUGAUCGGGACUUCUGACCUGGUAGUGAUUUUCAAAAACUUAACAAAAGUUAAAGACAACGGUGAUAAAGAAGAGUACCAGAUGAGAUAAAACACUCACGGCUCCGCAGUUCCUAUUAGACUGUUAUGGGGGCAUUGUUUAGUUUCCUCCAAAACCCACAUUUUUUUUAAGAUUCUUCAUCACAUCGAAUCUUGUGGCACAUAUAUAGAGCACUAAAUUUAGACGAAAACAAAAACUAAUUAUAUAGUUUGCCUAUAUGAGACGAAUCUUUUAAGCUUAGACAAUAAUUAUCAAAUACAAACGAAAGUACUAAAGUACCCAAAAAUUUUCAUCCACCCAACUAAAGGGUUUGUUUCCAUGUUAUCUCUCUCUUUCUUUCCUAAAUGUUUUGUGUACCGCCGCUUGAGCUUAUAAAAGCUUGACACCAAUACUUUCCCAAAGAAUUUUGCAAAACUUUUUAGAUUCUUCGUCACAUCAAAUCCUAGGCAUAUGCACGGAGCAUUAAAUAUAGAUAAAAGAAAUAACUAAUUACAUAAUUUACCUGUAAUUUGGAAGACGAAUCUUUUGAGCCUAGUUAAUCUAUGAUUGAACAAUAUUUGUUAAAUAUAAACGAAAGUGCUAAAAUGUUCAUUUUGCAAAAAAAAAAGAACUAAACAAGACCGAAGAAAAAAAAUAUCAGGGCUAUCUUAGCUCAUUGAGAAUAACACAAUGUCGCCUGCAACAUAUAAUUUGUGUAUCGACUUAUUAUUUAUGAUGUUUAUGUUAACUUAUGAUCAUGUCACAUAUAAUUUAUGAUAUGAUAUUAAUUAACCUUUGUCAUUGAUCCUAUCAUAUCCAUCAUAUUCAUCACAUGCUCAUUCUAGUUAUACCAAUUAGAAUUACAGACAUCCCAUGCCUGUUUGGAAAAACCUAUCUUCCUAAUCAUUGGUCCUACCAAAUGGAUAAGUCGGGUCAUCUAACCCUAUACCAUGUAUCGAACUCUUUUUCACUUAUGAUUGCGUUGCUUAGGUCUUGUUUAGUUUCCUGUCCAAAAAUUUUUCACCAAUCUUAUUGAAUAUUUAGACAUAUGCAUGGAGCAUUAAGUGUAGAAAAAAGCCUAAUUACGUAAUUUGGUUGUAAAUCGAGAUACAACUCUUUUAAGUCUAAUUAGUCUAUGAUUAAUUAUAAUUGCUAUAGUAACUCAUAUAUGUUAAUGAUGGAUUAAUUAGGCUUAACAAAUUCAUAUCUCACUGUUUUUAGAUGAGUUAUGUAAUUUGUCUUUUUAUUAGUAUCAAAAACUUCUUCUAAUAUUCUUUUGACAUAUUCGAUGUCAUUUUUUUUUUCGAAUUAAACAAGGCUAGCUCACUAGUAGACAAUAGAGGUCACAUCUUCUUUAUGAAAGCUGUCAAUGAUUGGGCCUAAUCAGGAGUCCGGUCUGAGGCUCUGGGUCCACGCGUCCACUAGCUAGUCUUGGCUUGUCUAGUACUCCUACUCCCUUGCACUUUUGUCUGGAUUAUUGUCAGCCAAACAUGCAUCUCCUACGUUAUCCUCGGGUAGCACAAAAUACAUAUCUAUCAAGUUGUCCAAAAAAUAUUAGUAGAAAUUUAUCAAUAGUAGUAGUGCUAUACCAUUUGUUUGUUUCUCCAAUCCGUAGCCUCCGACAAUAUCUCAGAUAUUUGGUUCACCCCCUGAAAACGAGUUCUUGUUUUGGUCGCAUCGAGUUCACUUUUCUCUACACAAGCGGCACAACACGGACCUCGCAUCAAACAUCGUGUUCUACACGAAUUUUACAAGCACACACAAAUGACCGCGCGCGUGCAAACGCUUGCACACCUGCAAGUUUUUUUCCUUGCCAACAACUCCAAUCUCCUGAAGCGAGAGAGCAAAAGAUCUCCCAAUUCUUCAAAUAUCUCUCUAAACGCAGCGACGACGACGUGUACCACCACGAGUGGCCAACAUGCGAUAAGAAACGAGUGCACGUAAAACGCCUGCCCGUCGACGAACAAAGCUAUAUAUUCACCUCGUCUCUCCACCGCAAAAUGCCAAGCACCGAAGUACAGUUCUAGCUACGUGACAGCCAGCACUACACACACCAUCCCUUGUCGACACAAAGACAGUUUGUUUGUAACAGGACAGAAGCCAAGAAGAAAGAAAUGGCGUCGACGGUGGCAAGCCUCUCAAUUCCGGCGACCACCUUCGCGGCGGCGGCGGCCGGCGAUGUGCUCCCAAGGAGGAAGGCCGCCGCCACCGGCCGCGUCUGGUUCCCCGUGGCGCGGCGCGGCGGAGGAUUCGCCGUGAGGUCGACCGGGCCGGCCACGCCGUCGAACAUCUCCGACAAGCUGUCGGAGAGCAUCAAGGAGGCGGAGGAGACGUGCGCGGACGAGAAGGGCACCGCGGAGUGCGCGGCGGCAUGGGACAAUGUGGAGGAGAUCAGCGCCGCGGCGAGCCACGCCCGCGACAACCUCAAGGAGAACAGCGACCCGCUGGAGAAGUACUGCAAGGAGAACCCGGAGACCGACGAGUGCCGCAUCUACGACAACUAAUAAUAAGCGCGUGUGUACAAGUAAUUAAUCGAUCACACGUGUUAUUAGUUUGUUAAUGAAUCAAACGUGUUGAGUUAUUAGUUUGUUAUUAUGUAUAGGCGACAUAAAAGGAAUUGAAGGUUGUGUGGGACAUAAGAAUAAUACUCGGGGAGGAGGAAUGAUGAACACUUGUAUGAAACUACUUGAAUGUAUGGCUAUAUCAUCAUUCAUACUAGGAUGACAAGGGCCUCCCCGGUAUGAAAUUGGGAUGGUAUACUAGUAUUUUUUUGGAUUACUUUCUUGUGGCCAAGCGUGUUUAAAGUUUGGGAUGGACUGACAAAUACUUUGCAUUGUUAAGAAUCCAUCAAGUUCAAUUAAUCUCAUCCCAGUUGGUAGUAACUAAUAUUUUCUUUGGACAGUGUGCACAUGAAUUUGUUUCUGCAAACUCUGUUCAAAUCAUGUACAGAAAAACUACUGUAAGCAGCAACAAGGAGGGGGGGCAGUCGGCAUCAACCAAAUUGUCAAACAGAAUAUCUCCUUCUUAGUUGUUACUGUUUAUCUUCUCCCUAGGUUUCUAUACUGUAGCUGAGUUGUUUGUGAGCGAUUCAGUUGGGGUUGCAAACACUUAGGUCCAACACAGAGAAAUGAAUGUCAUGUGUGGAGGCAACACUCCACCAACUAGGCAAGAGCACCAGGGUUCUAUUCUGCCCACCUGCCUCCCUCUCAUAGUCUACCCCUUUUUAUUUUUUCCCUUUUUCUUGAAAAUAGGAUAAACCUGUUUAUAAGAAAGCAAUGUAACUUGGGUUACCAGUUUAACAAAAAAAACAGCUAGGCCUAAAACAUCCAAAAGCGUUUAAACCAUAAAAAGUUUUUUUUUCUAAAACUUGUCAAAAGCACAGGCUUGACAGCGCACUCAAUUACAAUCGAGACUGUCUGAUAAAUCACAAACAUGUCUACUACUCACGCCUAUAGCCCUCUUUGGAGAAAAUCCCUGGAGCGACACCCACGGGUCGCCUAGACUAGGGAUCGAACUGUGGGCGCCUAAACGCUCAGCCUAGCCACAUACAUUGCCAGCACUACCAACUGAGCUACAGGCUCAUUCAGAAACUAUAAGAAUUCAACGUGCACAGAGCAAAAGCAGAACAACAGACUAUGCCUAUUAUAAUCGUACUACCUCCAUCCUAAAAUAAAUGCAAAUGUGACAUCCUAGUCAAUGUUUUUAAGUUUGAUCAAAUAUGUACAAAAAUACACUAAUAUUUAAUUUUUUUGUGCAUAAUAACUAUCAUUAGGCUGAACAUAGAAUAUAUUUUCAUAAUAUAUAGAGAUAUAAAUAUUGAUACUAUUUUCUAUAUUUUUUAUCAAACUUAAGAAAUUUGGUUUCUUCUGAUGCGAGAUGUGCAUUUAUUUUGGAAGAGAGAGUAUUUUGAUAAUGUUGGCGCCAUAGUGCUCCGUUUAAAAGUUCUUCAGCUAAUGUACUGUCUCCUCCACGUUGAGCAGUCGAUCCCUGUCCACCUCCUCGAGCAGAAUUUUCUCCUCUUUCUUUUUCCCCUCUGAAUCGCUAAGAGCCAUUCGAUUCGAUUUGAACGCCUGGAGAUGCCGAAAAAGUAGGGAUGAAAACGGAUCGGAUACGGACGGAUAUCACUGAUAUCAUAUUUGUUUUCAUAUUUUUGGUCGGAUUCGGAUUCGAAUACGGAUAAUGUCAAUCAUGUCGGAUAAGAUAUGAUUGGAUGUCGAUAUCAUAAAUAUACGAUUUAAGUAUUCGGAUACGGAUACGGUAUCGGAUGUUAAACAUUCGGACUCGGAUACGGACAGAUCUGAACCUCUCUAAACGAAUUCGGUCUCGAAUACGGUCGGAAAAUAUCCUUACCGUUUUCAUCCCUACGAAAAAGUCACAGUGCGUCCCUUACCAGAUCAGACUACCAGAGGCAAAUUACUGGAUCUGCCUCCCAAAGAGCCCAGGCCCCAGAGCCCACCGGAGAGCGGACUGCCAACACAACACUCCAACCCCGCAGGCGAAGAUGGCGGACGUCAGCGGCAGCGGCUUCGGGGGCCGGCGCCCGCCGGGGCUGUUGGCGAACGCGGCGAAGCGCAAGGAAGGGUUCGUGCAGCUGUUCCUGAUGGCGGGCGUCUUCAUGAUGAGCCUGCGGUCCCUGGGCCAGAAGCACCGCCUGAACGACCUCGCCGUCGACAACGCCGACCUCCGCCGCGAGCGCGAGGACCUCUCCCACCGCAUGCGGGACCUCCAGGACGCGCUUCGCAGCGAGGCGGACGCCGACUCGUCCGGCGCCCUCGCGUCCCACCUCCGCCGCAUCUUCACCGCCCACCCUGCUCCCGCGACCACCGCCGAGGACCAGUAGCGGGCUCCCUUGAGAUUUCUUCUUCUCCCGUGUUUUUUUGUUCUCCGGUCCGGUCGUGUGCUUCCCAUGUCCAGCGGUGUGGUCGUGCUCUCCUCUCUACUCCUCGUGUCGCUGCCUGACGAUCCAUGGCAGCGCACGCGAUGUGUUUGUGGAAAUGCCGCUGUGCAGACAAUUUGACUGAAAGUGUUGCUACCUCGAGACGCAUUGUUAAGACUCUAAACUUAUUUGUAUUUCAGAGUGAUCGAUCAUCGGUGCUCCUACCUGCCCUGUUAACUUUGCGGCUUUUGAGUUCUGUUAUGUGCUUCAUGUACUGGGUUAAAGGAUGACUGGAGGACAAACAGAGCCCUCGCCGUCUCUGUUCAUUCGACGGUAACCUGCCUCCAGUGUCCAGCGUCUCCACUACCUUCGCCACUGGCAUUGCAGCUAAAUUUCCGCAGGUGCCGUACACCACUGAACAGCUAUAGGUUAGGAGGAAAUCCACCUGACGCACGGCGGUUUGUUCGCCCUUGCUCCGGGCGGCGGGGCAUAACCACGUCUCGCUGUCGAAUGGCGAGGCCGGAGCACUUGGCGGUCUGUUGGCAGUUGGCACCUCAAAAACUCCAGCAGCAAAUGCUUUCGGGAUAAACUCGCUUGGUUUUGUUAGCUUAGACUCAUGCUGAAUAAUAAAUAAAUUCGGCAGAUAAAAUCAACCGAACAGGCUUUAAGAUGCAGAGCAAAUGAAUAUUGUAACAUUUCGAAGCCCCCACAAAAUGGCUUCUGACGCAGCAACAACUAAUCAUAAAAAGUUGGCUUUCCGAGACAAUAAUGACCAACUGCCCAUUGACCUAUCUAUAAAGAGCCAAAAUUUUAUUUUGCCAACAGUUUUCUUGUCCGCUCAUAUCCGCCUUUGGUUGCCAGGAAUCGGUCACCUCCCCCGCCCAACGCUUGUAGAAGAGCAAUAAGAUAAUAGAAUUUUUUCUAGGGUUUUCAAUAUAAAUUUUUCUAUUAGUUUUCUGUUCGCUCCCGUUGAUCGCCUCGGCCAUCGGUCGACCCAAUCUACUCAUCCGAAUCAGUACGGUGGAAAAGAGAAAAAAGAAUAGAAGUUUUUUUAACUUUCCAAUGCAAAAUCUCUAAUUUACUUUUCUUUUAUUCUUUAAAUUUGUUGAAAAUUGAUAAAUGCGUAGUAAUUUAUAGAAAAAAUUAAAAAUUACAAAACAAAUUUUGUUCAACUCCACAUAUAUAGAUUCAUAUAGUAAAAAAAAAUCACAAAUUUUAGUAUUUUUUUUUGCUAAAGAUGUUUUCCUAUGCUUUUUAUUGUAAAAUUGAUCGUUUAAAAAUUGAUAAAUACGCAAUAAUUCAUAGAAAACUCUAAAAAUUACAAAACAAAUUUUGUUCAGCUCCACAUACGUAGAUCCAUGCAGUAAACAAAAAAUAUCACAAAUUUUAGUACAUUUUUUUUGCUGGAGAUGCUUGUCUAUGCUUUUUAGUGUAAAAUUAAAAUUGUAGUUAUCUUGCUCCAAUUAUUAUGAAAAUUUUAUAGUAGCCUAUUUAAUGUGAUGCUUGAUUCAUAUUUCAUAGCAAUCCUAAUCUAAAUAAAAAUAUAAUGCUAGCAACAAACUUCUCAUGUUUUAAUAUAAUACUGAGGUAUAUUAAGAGAUAAUAUUAGAGUAAGAUAAGGUUUGCCUAAUUUAUAUUAUUAUUAUUAAAUAAAUAUGUCUUCAAGCUAUAUAUUAUUGUAAAGAUUAACUAUCUAAUACUAUAGAUGUUAUGGUUAUCAAUGAAGUAAAUUAUUGACUUUAAAUUUUAUAAAAAGAAUAAAUAUAAAUAGAUAUGUAACAUUAUGUCAUCACUUUUUGGAGUUAUUCGAUGUUUAUCUUCCAUUGCAACACACAGAUUUGCCAGUAACAUUACAACUCCAAAAUAAUGUACGACUACGGCAGAACAUUCCAACAGCUCAGGUUCUCUUCUACUCAAUCCAUCCCAAAUUGUAAGUCGUUUGACUUUUUUAAUAUCAAGUUUGACCACUCGUCUUAUUCAAAGUUUUGUACAAAAUAUCAUUUUUUUAUUGUGUAUUGGUUUAUUAAUAAAAGUUCUUCAAGAAUGACUUAAAAUUUGACUAUAUUUUUAUAAAUUUUUUAAAUAAGACGAGUGGUCAAACUUGGAGUAAAAAAAGUCAAACGACUUAUAAUUUAGGAUGGAGGGAGUACGAGCUAAUCAGCUUCACAUUCCUACGGUAAACAAUGACUAAUCCUACCGAACGUAAACGGUGACCUGUGACCCGCGGCGUGCGGGCCACUCCGCCGACCGCCGCACCCGAUCGCCACGAAAAUCGGAAGAUCGAUCCAUGGCACCUGCAGCUCAGCUUCCGCUCGGACCCACCUGUCGGCAGUCGGAUAUCUGGAGUAGGUCCAGCCGUCCAGCGAGUGGCGUCACCGGUUCAGCUCCCCGGUCACGUUACCGUCCAAGCCGGAAAAAAUUUGUGUGUGGACCGUCCACACCAAGCCGCUGUACGGACGUCUAAUCAAACUACGACACGUGGACAAAACGAGUCCGCCUCGUGCGCUGGAUCGCCUGGUGCUCGAGUCCGUCUCCCAAGUGCAGUCCGCCUCCGCGUGCUGGCGGCUGGCUCACGAGCCGCAAGUCUGAGUCUUAAUUCUCAGCGCUAGCUUUAACCUUGGCUGAGUUGCUUCGGCUAACAAAGUCAUAGGCUUGUAUAGGAAAAAAGAUAGAUUCGUUUGUUCACUUGGUAGACGGGAAAAGCGCCGCAAUCUGUUUUCUUGCGGCGAGAGACAUUGAGAGCGAUCUUCGUCGCCGCUGCAGUUACACAGCAACCACGCAGGCCAUCAGGCGCAAUGGAGCUUGACCGGUUGACCCCGCCUUCAUUGGUGUUGCUUCGGAUGGUGACGCCGACCCGGCCAAAGCAGAUUCCUCACACACCACUUACGAUGUAGUGCAGGUAUGUAUAGAUCGCCAUAGAUGUUUGUACUAGUGUUUUUUAAUGGUCUAUUUAUUAGAGCAUGAGAACACGUGCUUUCUGCAGAGGAACGUCAAUCCAAUGGCUAUGCCUAUGUUGUCAUCUAAUCAAUCGCCGUCCAUAUUACCUGCGAUUAUAUCUGAUUUGGAAUUACUUGAACCUGAGGGACAACAAGAAAUUGAGGUAUGGCAUGGGUUAGUAUGUUUGUUAGCUAUGUAAAAUUUUUGUAUCAUGAUUUAAUCAAGACACAACUUUAAUUUUUAUCUGAAUUUUCAAUAGGUGGUUGAUAAAGUUAGUCAAAAUUUGAUCAUUCCUUUAGUUGGUAUGACUUUCGAUUCAGAGGAUAAAGCUUACGAGAUGUACAAUACCUAUGCUGGUAAAAGUAGGUUUAGUAUUAGAAAGAGUCAUUCAAAGCUCCGAGAAGAUAAAACUAUAUAUCAAAAAUAUAUAGUUUGCAGUAACGAAGGAUAUCGAAAAAACAAGUCAUCACAGAAAGAUAUUACAAGGACGAGUUGUGAAGCUCGUGUUCAGUUCAGUGUUAGCAAAGAGGGAAUUUGGACCGUGCAGAAGGUUGUACUUGAUCAUAAUCAUUAUCUUGCUAGUCCAAAUAAGUUGCACAAGCUGAGGUCCCAACGGCGUGUUACAGAAGCAGACAAAGUGCUAAUUAGUCAGAUAAGGGAAGCUGGGAUGAAGUCAGCUCACGUAUAUGAGUUUAUGAAGGAGUUUUACGGAGGAGCGGACAAAGUGCCGUUAUCAAGGAUGGAUUGCAAUAAUGCAAUUGGUCGCGAGCGUAAGAAAUACUUAGAAUCCAAUGAUGCGCAAACAUUAUUGGAAUAUUUGAAGAAUAAACAAAUAGAGGAUCCUGCAUUUUUUUAUGCGCUUGAAAUAGACGAGGAAGAUGGUAAGAUAGCUAAUUUCUUUCGGACAUUAUACAAGCAACAACUAAUGUAUUUAAGAAAAGAUUUCGUAAGAGACUUGGACUUUCAGAACUUCUUGCAGAAUGUGAUAAGGUUUCCGCUAGUCUUCGUGAAAAUGAGUUAGAUGCAGAUUUUAAUUCACGUCGAAAGAACCCAGUUACUUACAUCUUAGAUUUAGCCAUGUUAAAGACUGCAGCUGAAUCGUAUACAAGAAGGAUAUAUUCAGAGUUUGAGGAAGAGUUUAAAGAACAAUUUGCAUUCUCUUGGAAAUUAUUACAAUCUGAUGGGUCAAUCUUGACAUAUGAGGUUACUCAUAUGCACUCUACUCAUGGAGCAACAGUUCAGUUCAACACUAUAAAUAUGACCAUUGCAUGUUCUUGCAGAAAGUUUGAAUGUAUAGGUAUAAGCAUAAUUUUUUCAAUUACGGUAAGUUUUUAGUAUAAUAUGAAUGGAGGUAAAUUGACUAUUUAUCUUGUAGGUAUAUUUUGCAAGCAUGCCCUGAAAGUUUUAAAUGCAAAAAAUGUUUUUAUUUUGCCACCACAUUACAUAUUGGGAAGAUGGACCAAAUACACAAAAAGAGGAUUCUAUGUAGACAAACAAGAAAGUGGGACGGAAAGUAACAAAACAUGGGCUGCACGCAACUCACGAAUGGCGACAUCCAUAGCAUUGAAGUGUUCAUUGUCAAAAGAACUUCUUCAUGAUUUGGAGAAAGGCAUGCAAAAAUUAGAUUUGGAAGCAGAUGCUUCUCUCAACAAGAUGAAAGAGAAAUCGGAUGAGGUUCCUUUAGUUUCGACUGACUAUGCAGACCCUUUGAAAGGCAAAAUAUCCUUUAAAAUUCCUCAGGUGGUAAAAGGUGCAAAGAAAAAACGGGUGACAAACGUACUUGAAAAAAAUGUAGGGAAGAAGAAGAAAAGUGCUAAGAAGAAAGGUACUGCUCCAGCUGAUUUUGUUUCCAAUAUUACUACUCUAUAGUAAUUUUCUUUAUUUUAAUCUAUAUGUAUAGGAGAUUCAAACAAGACUACAGAAAAUAGAGAUAAAGGUGUUGAUCUGAACCAAUUAAUCGUAAGUCAUCAAUUUGACUUAUUAUUCAUUGUCCUAUUUUAUUUACUUAUACAAAAUUGUUAUGAACUAUUUCAUAUAUCUGACACAGGACCUUGACGCUGGUGGCAGUGGUGGUAUUAGUGCUAUGUCAAACUUCACAAAUGCUUCAACCAUGCCUUCUCCGUUAUUCCAAGAUGGGCCAGAUACUACAAAUUCAUCUUACAUCCAAGGAGGAUUUACAAAUCUUUUACUCGGAGUUCAGCAAGAUGCCACAAUGUCAUCAUCUGCUAGAAAGUUAUAUUUCAAUGAAAAUAUGUAAUAGUGUUCUAUUGAUUAGUAUCCCACUUUACAGUGCUCUUAUAAUGCCGAGCUAGAUAUUGUUGUGCUGACCUCUGCUGUUAAUCUUCCUUUUGUGGGUACAUCUAUAAGAUAAUGAGAUUUUUAGCAUGCUGAGGUGUCUCAAAUUUGUGCUUGUAGAGAUGUAAAUCAUCUAGAUGUAGUACCACAGAAAUGUCAACAUUGUAUUAUUGAUUAUAAUUUUUGUGACACAUCCAUCACACUAUAAAGUUUAAAGGGGGCUCAAAAUGCCAUAUCUAUUUCAUAUAAAAAAUCAUAUCAGCAUAUUACGACAUCUGUGUACAAAGCCUGAAGAAAUGAAGGCCUUGUUUAGUUCCGAAAAGUAAAAAGAUUUCAGUACUGUAGCACUUUCGUUUGUUUGUGACAAAUAUUAUCCAAUCAUAGACUAACUAGGAUCAAAAAAUUCGUCUCGUGAUUUACAGCUAAACUGUGUAAUUAGUUUUUAUUUUCGUCUAUAUUUAAUGUUUCAUGCAUGUGCCACAAGAUUUGAUGUGACAAAGAAUCUUGAAAACUUUAUUGAUUUUCAGAGUGAACUAAACAAGGCCGAAGACGAGGAGCAACUGCAAGUUCGGACGCUGAGGAGCAGUUGCAGGCGGAGAGGCGGCGGCUGACCAAAAUUAUUGCGGUGCUUUUUCCAUCUACGAAGCCGACGUGGGAGGUGCUUGACCCUGUGGCUUGCGAGCCGAAGCAACUUAGGCCUGGUUUACUUUCAAAAUUUUUUUGCAAAACGUGAAUAGUAGUAUUUUCGUUUGUAUUUGAUAAAUAUUAUCUAAUUAUAGACUAACUAGGCUCAAAAGAUUCGUCUCGUCAAUUCUGACCAAACUGUAUAAUUAGUUUUUAUUUUCAUCUAUAUUUAAUACUCCAUGCAUCUAUACCUAUCUAUAAAGAGCCAAAAUUUCAGUUUGCCAAAUAUUUUCUUCUGCCUCCUGUCCGUCCGUGUUCUGUCUGUUUACCGACCUCCUACCGACCUCCUCGGUUCAACGUUUCUAAAAGGGCAAAAAACAAAAUAAAAAACAUUCUAGGGUUCCUAAUGCAAAAUCUCAUAUUAAGUCGGCUCCGGACUCCAGUCGCUCGCCUCCGUCUCCGUCGGUAGGGCCAAUCAGCCCAACCGGAAUCCCAACCGGAAUCGGUGGAAAGAAAAAAAAAAGAAUAAAAUUUUUUCUAGGGUUCCCAAGGUAAAAUCUUCAAUUUACUUUUCUUUUAUUUUUUAAAUCGGCUGAAAAUUAAUAAAUGCAUAGUAAUUCAUAGAAAAAUCUAAAAAUUAUAAAACAAAUUUUGUUCAGCUCCACAUAUAUAGAUCCAUGCAGUAAACAAAAAAUAUCAGAAAUUUUAGUACACUUUUUUUUGAAAAUGCUUGCCUAUGCUUUUUACUGUAAAAUUAAAAUUGUAGUUAUCUUGCUCCAAUUAUUAUAAAAAUUUAAUGGUACCCUAUUUAAUGUGAUGCUUGAUUCAUAUUUCAUAGCAAUCCUAAUCUAAAUUAAAAAAAAUGAUGAUAGCAUCAAACUUCUCAUGUUUUAAUAUAUAAUACUGAGGCAUAUUAAGAGGUAAUAUUAGAGUGAGAUAAGAUUUAACUGUUUUCUAUUUUUAUUAUUAAAUAAAUAUGUCUUUAAGCUACAUAUUAUUGUAAAUAUUAACUAUCUAAUACCAUAGAUGUUAUGGUUAUCAAUAAAAUAAAUUAUGGACUUUAAAUUUUAUAAAAAUGAUAAAUAUAAAUAGAUAUGUAACAUUAUGUCAUCACUUUCUAGGGUUAUUUGAUGUUUUUCUUCCGUUGCACUAUUACCAAAUUGAGGAAAAGUAAUUUUUUUAAAAAAAUUGUGGCCCCCGGCCCCCACUCCUCCCAUGGCUCCGCUUCCCGUCCCCGUCCACCCGCCAAUCGCUCCCAUCCCAGUCCCGCCGCCGCCACUUCCUCCGCCGGGGGCGGAGGCGAGGCCGACUACGAGGUCUCCGACGACCACCACGCCGCGUGGGAGCGUCAUGAGCAAUCGGUGCAGGAGCUCCUCUAGCGGCGCCGCGCCUACGCCAUGGCCGUGCGGGCCUACCUCCGCCGCCUUGGCGAGCGUGAAAUGGAGCGCCACGACCGCCUCCGAGCCCUCAUGGUCCGGCUCGAGGCCGAUGGCCAGGUCGACCGUCUCCUCCGCGCACAGGAGGACGACCACGCUGCACCCACCGGCGAGGAGGAGCAGAUCCAGUACCCCUUCUUCACCAAGGGCACGUAGGAGCUUCUUAAGGCGCGUGUCGACAUUGCACAGUACUCGCUGCCCCGUGCCAAGGCCAGGAUUGAGAUGCCCAAGCGCUGCCACGAGGAUUCCGAUGAGGACCCAGAGGCGGAGGCCGAACUCGUCGUGAAGCAGGCUGGGGAGUUUGUCCUGGAGUGUAGCGAGAUUGGAGAUGAUCGCCCUCUCAUCGGCUGUUCCUUCUCUCGUGAUGCAUCAAUGCUGGCCACAAGGUACUUCCUCUUAAUCAUACGGAAUUACAUGUGCUUUGUUCAUGUAUGUCUCAAACAAAUGUUGUGAUGAAAGGAUGUUGAGAACUGUUACCUAUUAAUUGUAUUAUUAUGUGGCGGCUGUGGCUGUGGGCUUUUGUCACUAACUGCGCCGCUGGUUUUGCUUUGGAUUGCACUGAGCGACAAUAAAAAUGGACUGAUCUGACGUGCUGUUUGAGGAAUUGUUCCCUCAUGUGAUGCUUUUAUGCUUUUUUUACGUAAUAUUCUUCCUCUUUUAAUUUCUAUACAUAUUUUUAUAUCAUUUUUUACUCUUUUUCCUCCACUGUAUAUGAAGAUUUCUGAUUUUUUUUAUGGGACAUGAUUUUUCUCUAUUUCUUCUCAAGGUGAUUUCCAAUAUUAGUUUGGUAGUUUUGUUUGUUUUGGUGGGGUUAUAUUUAUUUGAUUCAAGGUUGGACUAAACUCAUUUAAAUUUUACAAAAAGUGUAUAAUUAUCAAAUAAUAAAUUCUAUACCCCGUUGCAACGUACGGGCAUGUUUUGCUAGUACGUCUAAAGAUUCGAUGUGACAGGGAAUUUGAAAAGUUUUGUAAAAUUUUUGAGGAACUAAACAAGGCCUUAGCCGGUUUUGAUCAGGGCAAAGGCUGGGACCUGAGAGGCAGACUAGCGAGUAGCGACUCGCGAGCCGGCGCACGAAGGCGGACUCGUCUUGUCCACGCGGCGUAGUUUGAGUGGACGUCCGUACGGUGCUCUGGUGUGGACGGUCCACACCCAAUUUUUUUCCGUCCAAGCUGCUUCCCAAACGGCCAACCCCAAAAAGGCGCCGCCGCCUGCGGCGACACGCGCACGAAAAGGCAUCGACCACAUCCCUCUCGUGAGCGCGCACUUCUGCUAGCCUGCUGCCGUGCCGCAGUGUGAUUACAGCUCGUCGCUCGAGGUGAACUCCGGCGUGCGGAACCCUAGCGCCGCGCGGGCGUGGAGCCCACCGGCCUCGGCGCCGGCGGCGGUACUACUAGGAUGGCUCCGCCCGUGAGGCCGUGACGCCAUGGUGAGGGGCUUGCGGCUCGGUGGCCGCGCGGCCGCCGCGGCGAGGUGGUGCACCUGCCGCCGCGUCGCCGUCGCCCUCUGCGUGGGCAACCUCGUCGCCGCGCUGCUCGUGGCCCGCGCGCUCUACGCUCCCGGCUCCUUCGCAUUUGCACCCAGACGUACGCUGUUUUUCCCUCUCCUCAGCUCACUGCUAGUCCCAUCUGGUUGUUCUGAUCAAAUUAAUCUGCCGAUUAAGUUCGUGUCCGUGGCUUUAGGUGGGGAGCUGAGGUAUUCCAGGGAGCAGAUGAGGUGGGUGGAGGAGUCGAUCCGGAUUCGCCGCGCGGCCGAGCCCGUCGAGCUCAUUGAAGCGGUAUAGCUGUUCUACAGAGCUCUUGUGUCUGGGAUUCAGUUUGUUCAGGUGUUUCAUUGAAGCGGUGAUUCUGAAGCUUUUGAUACAUUGGGUUUUGGUGUCUGGUACUGCGAGAAGGUGAAGAAGCUGCGCAAGGCAUUCGCGAGGGAAGAGAAGAGGCGAAGGGAGCUGCCGCUGGAGCUGAAGCAGAAAGUUUCGCUUGAGAUUUUGCAGAGGCUGCACGAUUUGGGGGAAAAUGCUAAUACCACGGAACAACGAGGUUUGUAUUUCUGCUAUUCUUUGAUUUAGUACUGGAAUUAUUGCCCGGUGCAUCUGGAUGGUUGCUCUGCUGUUUUCAGUACUCGGGUUGGAAUGUCGUGCUACUUUAUGCUUCUUAAUCAUGUGUCCAUGUUGCUGUGGUUGACUGUACAUACCUGCUUCUGGCGCUAGUUGGACCAUUACUAAUCUGGUGCUUUGUUAGGCUCACGCCUAUGUACCAGCUCUUAGUUCUGAAAAAGAUACAUUGAGACGCUUUACCCAGCCAUUUCCUUUCUUCGAGAAAGAGCAGAAUAUUAGGUCCUUGUGGACUUUUCAUGUUUCUUUAUUUCUCUUUUCUCUCCUACCCCCUCCAUCCUAAGUUAUAGGUCGUUUUGGCUUUUCUAGUUACAUAGCUUUUGCUAUGCACCUAAAUAUACUGCAUGUCUAGAUACAAAGCAACCUAUAAUUUGGGAUGGAGGGAGUACUUAUUUGUAAUUUCACACGAAAACAAUAAAUCCCAUCCAUACUUUUGAGAACUAUGGGCCAUCAUUUCUAUGAUAACCUUGUAAAAGAUUAUUAAGCCAAAAGCUAUCUUCUAAGUUCUGGCAGCUUACCACUCCAGCAUACUUAUUCAUGGACUUGCCAUUUAUGCGCUGCUUCUUUUAUCUGUCUUCUUAUCCUCACUGGAAGUUUUGUCUGGUUUGUCGAAACCUUAUUGGUUGGCAUUCACUCUGUUAGUCAAUAGGACAAGCCAAACUGUGAUUUCCUUUUUUUUUUAUUAAGAUGCUUGUAAGAUAUGAUUUAGUCUUGUACACAAAUAAUGACAGGGAAGUACCAAAUACUGAUAGUUUAGGAAAGUUUACUAUUGCUGAUAUCAGUCAUACUGAAUUUCACACUUACUUUCCCUUUUAGGGUUGUAGGUGCGACCUUUUCUUUAAAAAGAAAGCAAGGGGGAUAUAAGUGUUAGAAAAUCUAAAAUUGUUUUCUGGUUGUGCAUUUAAUCGGUAGAAGUAUGUGCCACUUAGUUAUUAAUUGCAAGGCUAUAUAUAUAUAUAGUUUUGAACAUGAUUUGUUUUAUAUGUUUACUAACCUAAAAUAAAAUAUUUUCCUUCCGUUUUUCUAAUAUGCGCCAGAAGCUGUAGAAGCAUGGCGUGUUGGGAAGCUUAAGUACAUGAGAAGUACAUCUACUAAGAAUUUAUCAAAUGUUAGCCUCUCCAGUGAAGAAUCAAGUACGCGAGCUUACUUGGAGUUACUGUGAUGAAAUAUUUAUACUUGUUUAUUUUUUUUAACAUUUGCAAUGUCCUAUGAUUUGAUAUUUAGGGAGGUUAAAGCGAGCCUUGGAGUUUAACUGGCAAAUGCUAUUGGAGGACAUCGGUCUUUGGAUACCUCCCACUAUAUAUCAUAUUGAACAUGAUGACAAGCCUGAGAAUGAACCAGAAGGUUAUUGCGUUUACACUGUUCAUGUUGCCAGCAUUGUUGAUUAGGUCUUACAGGUCAUUAAUGGUUACCAAAUUGUGCAGUAAUUUUAAAUUGCUCCAAGAGACAAUUGAAUAAUGGUUCUUGAUUGAUGUUCAUGUUGCAGAUGAAGGGAUAAUACCUGGUCCACCUUUGCCACCUGAAUGCAAUACUGAGCUGCAUACUGAUUAUGGUGGCACUGCUGUUAGAUGGGGCUUAACACAUCACAAAGAAAGUGCCGCAGAUUGCUGUCAAGCCUGUAUAGAUCAGGCUAAGAGGGCUAGACCAGGAGCUUUAAAGUGUAAUAUUUGGGUUUACUGUCCGUCUGAGUAUGGAUGCUACUCGCCAGACAAAUAUGAACACAAACAUCAAGAAUGCUGGUUGAAGCAGGUAUUUUCUGUUGUCAUCUAUGUGUUAGUGUGUAUAUUUAAGUAUUUAACUAAUAUAAGAGAAUAUACUUAAGUCCAGCUCUCGUGCAUGGUUGGUAAUGUUAGUUCAUUAUUACCAAAUUUGACCUGUUUCCUAGGAUAGUGACUUCCAAAUUGUGUUAUGUUUGUUGCAUAUAUGAUACAAGUAUUGGUUUAUUAACAACGGUAGGACACAUGAAGUGCAGCUACUGGGCCUCUAACUUGGUUAUCAUGGUUUUGGGCUGUGGAUAGAGCAGGCAGCGCAAGUGCAGCUGGCACAGGCAUGGCAUUGAGUUUUUUUUUUCUUUUACUUAAUAAUACAGUCUUGUUCCAUCGCUUAGUUAAUAACUCAAUAUGUCCAUCGUAUUGUACAAACUGUUGGUGGAAACAUGUAUGUGUUGCACGUUCAGGUUAUCUGUUUCUUGGUGGCCCAUUUUGGCUGAAUUGCUGAUAUAACACAAAAUCUAGUUACUUGAUACUUUGUAUGAUGCCCCUGACAUCCAGGCCAUUGCUUGCGAUUGCUAGGAUUCGUUUUAACAGAAGUUUUCCUGUUGGUAUGGUGAAAAAUUUCUACCAUGCAGUGGUUAAAAUUUCUUACCAUGCACUGGAAUGUGUUUCAUUAUGGUUCUGAAGCUCCAAAAUUUCUGCGAUGACUGAUUUAUUGGAUACCUCAGCUGGAACAUUCCAGUGCUAUCUAUAGAAGGUGGAAGAUUGAGUCAUUGACCAGGGAAAAAUGGAGCCCAUGAUGUAUAUGAAAGUAAAAAAAUUAUGCUGCAAUAGUGUAGACACUUGAGUAGCCACUUUAUUCUGUAUCACAAAAAAUAUUGAACAUUCUCUAGGAAGUUUUUACUGAAUGACCGGAGCUUUGUUUCCCGUUACUCUUGUUGAUCGGGCUGAUGGAAAUGGAUGGUCUAGAUAUCCAGGGUGCCAGCCACCCGGGCACAAAAACUGCUCUCAUGUUCAAAAUAUUCAUGCCCAGAAGUUGAUUCUCUCUUCCUUAUAUACAUGUUGGACAUCUAAUGUUUGUACUACAUGGUCUGAAACUAUAAAAUGCUAUUUUUAGUUCUCUUGAAUUUAUUCUUUCAUGACUUAACAUUCAUGUUUUUGUAUUUCUAAGUUUUGACUGUGUGAGGAAAUCUGAAUUCAGGUUCUUUAUUUAAUAAAUUCCCUUUAGAUACUUAAUAGUGUGAUGCUGUUCUUGGACUCUUCCUUCCAAAUGACUUUUUUUUCACAUUUGAUCCAAUGUCGUCAUUAAAAUCCUGGUAUUCCAUUCAUAUAUAUGUUAUCGAAAUGGAUUUUGUUCCACCUGAGAAGUAAUUUCCGCUGUAUUGGUUUGUAUUUCAGGCUGACCACCCUAGAUUAAACUUCAAAGACCGCUACUCUGAGCCAUACAGAGAUUCUCAUCCGACUGCUCCUGUUGUUGUGCCAUGGAUGUCUGGUGUCAUUACUGCAUGAGCUGCCUGCCCACAGGAGCCCAUCUCCAAUGUGCAUCCCAACUGAACUUUGUACAUUUUCUGCAAACUCAGAAAACCAUUUUUCUUUUCCUUCUUUAGCACUUAGUCUUUAGGUUAGUCUACUUGAUAGCUGAAGUUAGUCUGAGCUGGUGCCUGGGUGGUAGGAUUUGGGUUAUGCUGGUGGCUUACUCUUGAAAUUAUACAGAGCUAAAUGCCUAAAUCAAUUCUUUUGUUUUCUCUGUCCCAUACUUUAUUUCCCCUAGAUCUGAUCAUAAUUUGUUCUUUUCCCUGGUGGGUGGGGUGUGUUUGAAGGGGAGGGGUUCAGUGUGUGUUUGUGUUUGGAUUGUAUCCAAAACGUCCCACACCACACAUUCUUAGGCGGGGUUUUGGUUCUACUAUAUCACAACUCUAUUACUGGCCACACUUUUUAGCAUUAUGAUGUCCCACAUGUCAUAGGUAACUUUGUCAAACCGUGCCCUAAGGUGUGGCAAACAAAUUGAUAGGAACAUCGUGGAUUCGUGGGCAUAGAGAUGUGUUGCAAUGUUUGUACAUCAACCAGUCAUGCCCACAACUGUAUUCUACUUUGAAACUGAAACUAACUAACUAACGCAGAAGCAAGCUCGAGAGAGCUCAUAUCAUCUCAAACAUUGGAUCACCACGUCAGUGCUUGCAACUGUUUUCUCAAACCUUGAUGCAGCGCAAUGGGAGACGAGACAGUCUACGGGCAGGGCACUUCAUGGUUGACUUGCUCAAACUUUUUUAUGUUUGACCAAUUUUUAAGGAAAAAAGUAAAUACUUAUGAUACCAAAUAAUCAUAUUAUAAAAAUAUAAUUUUUUGGUGUAUCUGUUAAUAUUAAUUUGGUGUCAUGAAUAAAAACAGCUUGACUUUAAGACAACUUUAUGAAUUGGUUUUUUCAGUGACUUUGGGAAAAUUUUGUAUUGCAAUGCUGCAGACAGUUUUUUUCCCAGAAAAUUUUGUAUUUCUUCAGACUGUGCAAACACAGGUUGCAAUAUACAUUAUACAAACUUUCUCAGCAGGCUACAAGUAUAACACAAUGGCACAAUGUUAACUGGUUUCGAGGCAUAUUCUCUACAUUUACACCAGGUUCACUAGACUGAUCAAUGCUCGAUAACCUUUGGUAUGGCUCAACGCUCAACAGCAUACAAAUUACAACAUCACGAGUACAUUCUGCGUGACACGAAUCUGAUGGUUUCAAACGUUCAACCUAAUAAAUUGCUUGUCACACACUCGUCGUCGGAGCCAAAGUCGCUGGUGUACGAAUCUGAUGAAUCGCUACAAGAAGAUCCAGACGAACAGCCGCUGCUGCCAGAGGAUCCAGACGAACUACUAGAACUGAUGUUUCUUGGGCUUUGUGUGAUCUCAGCAAACUUCUCGGUUGCAACAGGGUCGGCGUCGCUGCAAAUGUCGACCUCCUCCUCUACGAUCUCUCCGUCUUCUAGUGUUCGUGGCGGUGAGCAAAGGCCCUUGGCUGGCAUUGCAAUGGGAGAGGGGCCGUUCUUGGGAACGGGAAGAACGACAGGAGCCAGAUUGCUGGUCACACACUCGUCGUCAGAGUCGCUGCUCUCGGAAUCUGAUGAAUCGCUGCAGGAAGAUCCAGAUGAACCGCCGCUGCUGCUAGAGGAUCCAGACGAACUGCUAGAGCUGUUGAUGGCAUCGAAAUCCUCCUCGAUGAACUCGCCAUCCUCUAGUUCACGUGGCGACGAGCGACUAAUGGAUCCGGACACGUUCAUCGACUCCUGCUGCUGAUGCUUCUCUUGUUGUUCAGAAAACUCGUCGUCCAGCAACUUGUGCAGCUCGAACAUGGCGGAGCGCCUCAUGGAUCCCAACUCGAUCUCCAUCUCGUUCUCGCCGGCGUUUUCGUCUGCAACACCGGUGGUGCACUCCUUGUUCAGGAACGCGACGAUGCGCGCCGGAAUGUUCGGCGAGAGCAACGAAAGUCGGGUAACCAAGCUCAAGAUCUCGUCCUUCGAGAUCCGGGGCUCGGUGAUCUCCACGUCCACGGGUGGCAUCGUCUUCCUUUUCUUGCCACGAGGAAUCCGGCUGCCCUCCAUGGUCUCUGGUCGUGCUUCUGCGGCCAAGAACCGCCCGUCCUUGCCGCCGCGAGGUGCCGCGUCGACAGACUUGCGCACCACGAGCUCGGCCUUCCUGAGGAUGCCGCGGAGCGCCUCCAUCUCCUCGCCGAGCCUCUUCCUCAGCACCAGGCGUGGAUCAGGCGCAGAGGGCUCGCCCAUCGUCUUCGAGCCGAGUUCGUGGCGCGCGACUCGGCGAUGGCCAGGCAUCUUCGUCUCGGCGGCGGCCGCGGUCGCCUCCGUCCUCUCGCUCGCGCUACGUGGGAAUGGCAGCGGCCGGCGUCGGGCCCUUAUAAAGAGAGCGGAACCUUUGACUGUGUCCGACUCCGACGCCGACCAGGGGUGGAUCCAGUAAAGAUAAAACUUUUUUAAAGCGAGAGCGUGUCGAAGUCGAAAGCCAUCCCUCUCAGACGUUCACCGAGUCCGUGUCCGCAGAGAGCAACCGGAUGGCCUCCCGCGACGCCGCUACCGACGAUGUCGCCGUCGAGCUCCUGCCGUUCAUCCGCCUCUACAAGAGCGGCCGCGUUGAGCGCCUGAUCGGCAACGACACGGCCCCCGCCUCCCUCGACGACGGUACUUCUACCGGCGGCGUCGCCUCCAAGGACGUCACCAUCGACCCCGCCACCAACCUCUCCGUGCGCCUGUACCUUCCCACGGCGGCUGGCGCCGGGGACAAGCUGCCCAUCGUCGUGUACUUCCACGGCGGCGGCUUCAUGGUCGAAUCGGCCAGCUCCGCCAAGUACCACCGCUACCUCAACGCACUCGCCGCCCGCGCCGGCGCCGUCGCGGUGUCCGUGGACUACCGCCGCGUGCCGGAGCACCGGCUCCCGGCGGCCUACGACGACUCGUGGGCGGCGCUCGCGUGGGCCGUCGGCGCCGCCUGCGGCGACGAGUCCGAGCCGGAGCCAUGGUUGACCAAGCACGGGGACCCUUCCCGCGUGUUCCUGGCUGGGGACAGCGCGGGCGCGAACAUCGCCCACAACGUCGCCAUGCGCGCGGCCGUCGCCGAGGGUCUCCCGGCGAUCAGGAUCAGGGGCGUGCUGCUGAUGCACCCGUACCUCUGGGACGCGUCCGACGCCAUGGGACCCGACCUGGAGGAGCGCAUCCGCCGCGAGUGGCAGCUCAUGACGGGGCGCCCUGACGCGCGGGUGGACGACCCAUGGCUGUCGCCGACGUCCGCACGGGCGCCGCCACUCGCGCUGCUGCCGACGCAGCGGGUGCUGGUUGCCGUGGCCGGGGAGGACUUCCUGGCGCCCAAGGGGCGAGCCUACCACGCGGCGCUGCUGCACAGUGGGUGGCCCGGCGAGGCCGAGCUGGUGGACACUCCGGGCGAGCAGCACGUGUUCCACCUCGACCAGCCCGGGACGGCGGUGGCCGAGGAGUUGAUGGAUCGUGUGGUGGCUUUCAUUGCUGGAGCUUGACGGCAGUGGUACACCUAACCCGCAUAUUUUUCUUUUAAUUGUUUGUCUUCGAUUUUUAAGCGGUGGCCAGAGUGGCGCGAUCACACGAUGACACGAACGUCCGUUGAAAAAGGAUCGCUCACCCCUUUUGGCAACGUUUGAAAUCAGGGAGUAAACUACAGCCAACUUUAUAUUCACAAAAACCAAAAAAAACUUCAUACAAGAAAAUAAGUUGGCGACCAUAUGAAAAGGUUGGAAGAUACUAGUUGUAAAUGAGCCAAUUGCUAUAUGAAAAGGUUGAAAGAUAGUUGGAACGAACUACUGACCAUAGCGUCUAACCAAUCCAAACCCUGAACAUUUGGAGAGAACAGCCCGAAAUCGAUCUGGGUAUUAGGUACUUGUAUAUGUAGUAUAGGAGAUGUGUUGAAAUUGCGGGCUUUUGUUUCUUCUUUUGAUUAGGAUACGACAUGACUUGAUAGUGAUUUAUGAUUUUCUUAAUGGAAACGAAAUAUAUGUAUUUGUGAUUUUCAGACAGAGUAACAAAAACAAUGCAUUGCAUUGUAACCUGUGGAAGCACCGGAACGGCAUGGUCUACCAGAAAUGGCCGUCACCGGAUAUUAGGAGGUUACCACAAGACAUUGUGCACGAGGUCGAGGAGUGGGUAGAGGCAAGUUCUUAACGCUAUCGGUGCCUUCAGGAGCUUGGUCGCAAACAAACAAUGCCAUGUAAAAUAUCGCUUAUUGAUGUAUCCAGUAGCUAGGGUGAUCCAGAGCGUUAUUGGCUUCUUGCCGAUAACGGGUUCAAAAACUUUGUAACAUUUGGUUAUCCAACCGUUACUCAACCCAACUAGCUAGCCGUUGUUCAUUGCUCUAUAUAUAAACCUGCACGAGUAACUCUAGAAAAUACACGCUCCUUCCCCAUUUCACAAAACACAAACAAAUAUAAAAAAAACCCUCUCCUCUCCGUUUGAUAGAACACAAGCACGGACCCAUCUUCUACUGAUGGCUUUACAAAUUUGUUGAACUCUUCAACCUCAAACCUAGAAUUCCAAGGACCACAAAGUAGCUACAACCAACAAUAUCCAAAUUUUCCUCCACCUCAUUUCGACCACCACCAUAUAGACCCAUUCGGUAGUCCCAUCUUACAGUCCAACUGGAUUGUGAUGAGUCGAACCAUAUCACUGGAGCAAUCGAAUCUUUCAAAGAAAAAAAAUCAACUCGAGUUCUUACAUUGACUCGUCGUGAUUUAAAUAAUCAGAAUGGAUGGAAGUUUGCAUGGAAAGCAUGUACUAGGAGAGAGAAUCUAAUCGAGGUUUGGAUUUUUUUAUUUGUAUAUAUAUUUGGCCAGAUGGUAAAAAAAGUUGACUCACCACUGGACAACCGCUGGACACAACUGUUUAGUUUCUGAGGCCUUGUUUAGUUCCCAAAAAUUUUGCAAAAUUUUUCAGAUUCUCCGUCACAUCGAAUCUUUAGAUGUAUGUAUGAAGUAUUAAAUAUAGAUAAAAAUAAAAACUAAUUGCAUAGUUUGGUCGAAAUUGACGAGACGAAUCUUUAGAGCCUAGUUAAUCCAUGAUUGGACAAUAUUUGUUAAAUACAAACGAAAUUGCUACAGUGCUCAUUUUGCCAAAAAAUUUGGAACUAAACAAGGCCUGAAUCAUUUUUGCAAAAUGGUAAAGAUUUUUCGUCAUAUCAAAUGUUGCGACACAUGUAUGUAACAUUAAAUAUAGAUAAAAAAUAACUAAUUUCACAGUCCCCUGUAAUUUACGAGAUAAAUCUUUUGAGCCUAAUUAGUUUAUGGUUAGACAAAAAAUGUCAAAUAUAGAUAUAAGUGUCAUAGUAGCAUUUUGCAAAAAAAAAAUCACCAAUUAAACAAGACCCCAAACAACAUAGGCAUGUCAGCUCUUUUACCCGAUAAACCGACUCACCAUUGGUGAUGCUCUUAGAGCAUCCGCAGUGGUGAGUCGAUUUAUUUAGGAGAGAGAGUGCUACGUACACGAUCAAUUGAUGUAUCCAAAAGUCGAUUCAUUAUCGUGCAGUGGUGAGUCGACUUGAGCAGGGACAUGGGGCCCUCCGAUGGGACAGUAGCAAAGAGGAUUCCAGCCAGCCUUGGCCCUUCCUCGGAUGAAGAAAUAAUUUUUUAUUGUUGAUGGCCGCAGAUGAACCGAUGCAAAAGUUUGCAUCGACUCUUCUGUUUUUCCUUCCUGAGUCGAUAUACUCCAGUAGAUAAACCGACUCAUUCUGGUGACACGUAGGAUGUUGAGUCGCUUUUUUCUUCCCACUGGAGAAGCCCUUAGAGCACCCACAGUGGUGGGUCGCUUCAUGUGCCACAUACACAGUACACUAGCUUCUUCAGCACGAGAACCACUACCACCAAUGCCUCCAAAUUAGGCCUUGUUGUAGCAUUUUUGUUUUUAUUUGACAAACAUUAUCUAAUUAUGGAGUAACUAGACUUAAAAGAUUCAUCUCGUGAUUUACAAGUAAACUGUGCAAUUAGUUAUUCUUUUUAUCUAUAUUUAAUACUUCAUGCAUGUGCCAUAAGAUUCGAUGUGACAGAGAAUCUUGUAAAGUUUUGGGUUUUUGGGUGUAUCUAAACAAGGCCUAAGCCACCUGAUCCAAUCGGGAUAAUGGAUCAUCAGCCAUAGUAGCUCUGAAAUUUCCUUGAUGGAACUGCAUCAAACCUUCAUGGAAGGAGUACUAUGGUAGUUUGAUGUUCCACGAAACUGUUAAAAUCCUAGUUGAACACCAAAAGAAUUGAAAUGAUGUUGAUACUCGCUUUUUUUCUGCCACUGGACAUGGCCUAAAUUUGAGAGGCCCAACCGCGCAAGGCCUAUGUGCGCUUGGCUGCCUGCUGCCGCUCCUAUCCUAUCCUCAACCACGGCACGCGAUGUACGGGUGGGCUGUGAUCGUGUAAACCAUGGACUCGCAACGCAAUCUCCCAGCUCGUGGCUCUCCACCCACUGUGCCUUUGCUGGGCAGCCAAAUUUCUGCGGCAAACGGUAGCGUCCCACGCCGAUCCCUCCACUCGGGUCGGGCGUCGCUCGGCCCCCCCUUUUUUCGUGGCACGGCACAACCUUUUCCGGCCGCGUGCCAGGUGCCACCCACCGCGAUCUUUGUCUCAUGCCUGCACCCACCGGCAGUGCACCAGGUCCAUGCCGCACCCAAACAGUGUCGCGUCGCCGUCGCCUCACACUCUCCUCCUCGUCGCAGACCUUGCAGCCGGCGGCGUCCGCGCUGCAGCAAUCCUGAUUCCUGAACGCCAGAACCUGAGCUGCAGCUGCGAUUGGUGGGGGGAAGAACACGGUGGCGCAUCAGCUGCAGUGGAAAUGGCGACGAGGAUGCGUUCCUGCGUCAGGUGCUUGGCCAACCUCGUGCUCCCCUUCCUCUUCUUCGCCUCCCUCCUCUACCUGUCCACCAGGCAGCCGCUCCUCGACGUGGCUGUCCGCCGGGACGUCGCGCCCGGCAGGCUGCGGGUGUUCGUGGACCGCGCCGCUAAAAAUGCCAGCGUCACGACGGGCGCGGCGGCUCAGGUGUCUGACAUUGCCGCCGUUGCAAUCGAAGGUGGUGACGGCGAUGUCCUGACCGACGCGCCCCCGGACUCCGGCGACGCCAAUGUCACGACGGAUAAUACGGUGCAGCAGGCGUCUGCCAUCGCUGCCGCUGCAACUGAAGACGGCGAAUCCAAGGUCGUGACCGAUGCGCCGCCAGCGUCCGCCGCCGCCGCCGAGCCGAGGGUGUCGUCAGACUCAGACUCAGACAUCGCGGCAACGGC
rnacentral:lncRNA from 1 species